rnacentral:lncRNA from 1 species
CUUCUUCUCCUUUGGGUUCUUGUUUAGCUGCAGUUUUUGUUGCUUCAACAUCUGUGAUUGUAAUAACAAUGUCUUCAUUAUUUGUAUUUGACAUCUAACGCCAAAAAAAAGAACAUUGUUAAAGACAUAAAGUAUUUACUAACACAAAUAAGAGGAAUAGAAAAGUGAUCCUUGCAUAAAAAAUGUUACUAUGCAAAUACAACAAAUUCAUACCUCAGAAUUUUUAGUUUUGAUUUCUAAGAAAGUGUUUCGAAUAUACAUAGCAGUCAAAAAAUUGACAGGAUAAUUUUUUCCUUGAUUGAGAAAUGAAAAAUAAUCAAUGAGCAAGUUUAAGUUAAAAUAAAAUUACUAAUUGGAUAUCCAACCCAAUUCAUUGUAAAAAAGUUGAUUAUCAAACAAACUCAUUGUAUAAGUUUAUCAAGAAUAACUCAGGAUCAACUCUUCAUCGAUGAUUUGUUCUUUUAUGCCUUUUUUGGUCAUUAUUAGAAUUGAAGAUUUUCUGGCUGAAAUUCUUUCAAGGCUGUAGCUGCUAACAUUAAGAUUACUCUUUAUUUCCAUGGAAAAAAUUGGUAGUUCUCUACAAAAAGUAACAUUGAUUUUCAUUGGAACUUGUUAAGUGGCUAAUCGUGCAUAUAAUUGGUACAUAUUAUCCCCUUUGUUUUGCUAAAAUAUGGCAUUAAUGGAUCUAUUUCACUCAUAUUUGAAUUUUGGUAUUAUUUUUAGGAAUUGUUGAUGAGAAUGGAGUAAAAAGGGCAUUAAAGCUGAAUUUUAGAAGACUGCACUCUAUAAGACGUGGGCACGUGAGAAAACCAAGUGACAGACGGAAUCCACGGAGUUGCACUUGCCGUGUCUUUGAUUGCUACAUUAGCCACAAAUUGGAAGUGCUGAUCAAUUGGAACGAAAUCUUUGUUUCUUGAUUGAGAUAAACCCUGUUAAUUAGUAUUUUAGGGAAAAACAUUUGAUUUUCUUUUUAUUAGUACUAUACUUAUUAGAAUUAGAGUCCAAAGAGGACUCUCCUUUUUGGUGAAAGGAAACGUAGGAGUAUAAGAAUGAAACAAAGCCUUCGGCUGAGGGGGCGCUCUCGAAUCCUUUUUCUCCUUUUUCCUCUUGACAGACUAUAAACGCUAGUAUUUUGUCGCCGCGAAUUCACCAUGAGGAGCGGCUAAUUUCUUUUCUAGUUGAAGGAUAAUUGAAGCUUUGGUUCGACAAUUCUGUGAGAUCUAAUUUGAUUUAUUUGCUUCAUCUAUUUCUGAGUAUUUACAUAUUCCCUGUCAUCCAUGUUUAUGAUUAUUUUCUACAGUUAAAUACCUGAUCAAUAUUUAAUUGUUGAAAUAGUCUAUUGCCAUCUAAAAUAUCAAAUCCGUAAUUGUUUGGUGGUUUUAGUAUCUGUGGCGCGUGAUGUAAUUUGAUUGUAAAAGAAACUUUCGAAUCUAUGUCACGGGAAUAUAUAACCUAGCUUAAAUGAACCGAGCUUGUGUGCUUGUUGGUUAGAAUUGGUAGCUUCUCUAAUUAUUAAUGCUGUCAAUAGGUUAAAUCCUAAGAGCUUGUUUAGGGUUGCUUAAUUGGCAAGAGAAAUAGCCACAGAGCGUGUUGUGGUUAUCGAAGCAGUAAGGCGAGGCAGGUUGUCAGAGCGUGUUGACGACCAUAACCCGUUUAUUCAUGAAUAAGUGAUUUCACCUUUGCAUCGAUGAUCAAUUAAAUGAACCAAAGUGGAGAUUAGACCUUCGACUAGAGUGUUGCCUUUUCUUGAUUUAGUUUUAUUUAAUUUUGUGAUACUGUCUUUAUUUUUAUUCAAGUAAGCUAUUUGGUUAAUUUCUCCUAAUCCCCCAUUUUUCACAAAGAAAUAAAUCACUCAGUCCCUGUGAAUAUGACCCUACUCACUGCUAUGCUCGAAUUCAAAUUUUAGAGUAGGAACUUUUAUUUUUGCUGAUUUGACACGCCAACAAAUUUUGGCGCCGUUGCUGGGGACUUGGUGUCAAAAUAAAUUUAUUUCCUUUGAAUUUUAUUUUCUUUGUUUAUUUUUUAUUUUUAUUGUUACUGGUUUAUGCCUAAAUCUUCUCGUACAGGUGAGUUACAAUAUAAUCCUGAGAUAGAGAAGACUGCUCGUGCAUUGAGAAAAGCAACAAGAGAACGAGCAGAGGCAUCCUCCGCCUCUACUGGACAUAAUUCAAUAGUAGAUUUUGUGGAUUCAUUUAGUGAGACGGAAGAGAUAAAUAGCACCAUGGCUAAUGAACGAACAUUGAGAGAAUUGGCUGCAACAGAUUUAAAUCACUAGCCUCUCUGCAUUACUUAUCCUACAUUAGAGGUUGCAUUUGAGUUAAAAUCUAGACUAAUUCAUUUACUUCCUUCUUUUCAUGGCUUACCAGGUGAAGAUCCCCACAAGCAUCUCAAAGAAUUUCAUGUGGUUUGCUCGACAAUGAAACCCCAGGGAGUCACAGAGGAGCAAAUUAAAUUAAGAGCCUUUCCAUUUUCAUUAGCCGAUAAAGCUAAGGAUUGGCUCUAUUAUUUGCCCUCUGGGUCAAUAUCCACAUGGACAGACAUGAAGAAGUAUUUCCUAGAAAAAUUCUUUCCUGCAUCCCGAGCUACAAGCAUUAGGAAAGACAUCUGUGAAAUUCGACAAUUCAAUGGAGAAACUCUACAUGAAUAUUGGGAAAGAUUCAAGCAAUUAUGUGCUAGUUGUCCUCAUCAUCAAAUUCCUGACCAACUUCUCAUCCAGUAUUUUUAUGAGGGUCUGUCCCAAACUGACAGAAGAAUUAUUGAUGCUGCCAGUGGGGGCUCCUUAGUGAAUAAAACACCCACGGAGGCAAGAAGUUUGAUAUCGAGUAUGGCUGCAAAUGCUCAACAAUUUGGAGACAGGCAGGAUAACACAACUCGUAGAGUCAACGAGGUAAGUAAUUCUUCAAUAGAGCAAAGAUUAGAUAGUCUAACUUCUUUGGUUGAAAAGUUAGCUGUAGGACAAAUGCAGCAAUUGAAAACAUGAGGAAUCUGCUAUGGUUCGAGUCAUCCAACAGAUAUGUGCCCCACACUCCAAGAUGAUUCGACUGAGCAGGCUAAUGCAGUUGGAUUUCCAGGACCGCCUCAGAGGCGGUAUGAUCCCUAUGCAAACACCUAUAAUCCAGGAUGGAGGGAUCAUCCUAAUUUUAGUUAUGCAACAAGGCCACUAGGAUUUCAACAACAGCCACAAUAUCAACCUAGACCUCAACCUGCACAGCAACAAUCUGCUCCUAAAUCAGGUAUGUCACUUGAGGAUAUUGUGAAAUCUUUGGCUACUAACACUCAACAAUUUCAACAGGAGAUGAAAACUAGCAUUCACAAUUUGGAGAAUCAAAUGAGCCAGUUAGCUUCCACAGUCAAUAGAUUGGAGUCUCAAUUAUCGGGAAAGCUACCCUCGCAGACAAUUGUCAACCCCAAGCAAAAUGCCAGUGCCAUCACAUUAAGAAGUGGCAAAGAGUUGCCUGAGCCGAGCAAGAGAAUUUCUGAACAAGCAAUUGAGGAAGAGCUCGAAAAGGAGGGGAAUGUGUCUCAACCUAGGGCCUUGGAACAACCAGAUUUUGGAGAAAAAUCAACGCAAGUGGUUACACCUCUGCCUCCAUUUCCUAGUCGACUGGCAAAGUCCAAAAAGCAAGAGCAAGAACAGGAGAUUUUGGACACUUUUCGAAAAGUUGAGGUAAAUAUCCCUCUUUUAGAUGCAAUUAAGCAAAUUCCUAGAUAUGCUAAAUUUUUGAAGGAGUUAUGCACUGGUAAAAAAAAAUUGAAAGGAAACGAGAAAGUGCAUAUGGGAGAAAACGUCUCGGCAGUUUUGCAGAAAAAAUUGCCUCCUAAAUGCAAGGACCCGGGUAUGUUUACUGUCCCUUGCAAAAUAGACAAUAUUAAAAUUGAAAAAGCUAUGUUGGAUUUGGGUGUUUCGAUAAAUGUUAUGCCUCGUUCUAUUUAUAAUUUGAUGAACGUUGGGCCUUUAAAAGAGACGGGCGUAAUAAUUCAGCUGGCUGAUCGAUCAAAUGCCUAUUCUGAUGGAGUUUUGGAGGAUAUUUUAGUGCAAAUUGAUAAUUUGAUUUUUCCUGCAGAUUUUUAUGUGCUUGAUAUGGAGGAUGAUAAUUCUAAUUCAUCUCCAAUACUGUUAAGAAGACCAUUUUUGAAAACUGCUAGAACAAAAAUUGAUGUUUUCACUGGCACAUUGACUAUGGAAUUUGAUGGUGAUGUUAUUAAAUUUAGUAUUUAUGAUGCCAUGAAAUAUCCUGGUGAAUCUCAUUCAGUUUUUGUUAUAGAUGUAAUUGAUUCUUUGGUGCAGCAAAAUUUUGAAUUUAAUAAUGAUGAUGCGUUGAAGGUUGCUAUUUCUACUGGUCUCUGUCAGGAAAAUUUGCAAAAGAUAAAAGGGAAGUUUGUUUUUCCUUUUGAAUUGCAGGAAGUUAUUUUUGAAUUGAAUUCUCUUUAUCCAGAAUUUUCCAAUGUGUCUUACUUGGAAUUACCUCUGUCUCAUUCGCAGCUUUUGUCAUCUAUUGUGCAACCCCGAAGGUGGAAUUAAAGCAGUUACCGGAUAAUUUAAAGUAUGCAUUCUUGGGAGAUGGAGAUACACUCCCAGUAAUAAUUUCUAGUAAAUUGACUGCUUUAGAGGAAGAAAAACUAAUUCGGGUGUUAAAGGACCACAAGGAGGCAAUAGGAUGGACAGUGGCUGACAAAAAAGGAUUAAGUCCAGCCACUUGUAUGCAUCGCAUCUUGUUAGAAGAUGGUGCUAAGCCUUCGAGAGAGGCUCAAAGGAGAUUGAACCCACCAAUGAUGGAGGUAGUGAAGAAAGAAGUUUUAAAACUUCUUGACACAGGUAUAAUCUAUCCCAUUUCAGAUAGUAAGUGGGUAAGUCCUGUUCAAGUAGUUCCUAAAAAGACAGGAAUUACUGUUAUUGAAAAUCCUAAAGGUGAGUUAGUGCCCACUCGAGUUCAAAAUGGGUGGAGAGUUUGUACCGAUUUUAGAAAAUUAAAUGCAUUAACUCGUAAAGAUCAUUUUCCAUUGCCUUUUAUUGAUCAGAUGUUGGAAAGAUUGGCAGGAAAAUCUCAUUAUUGCUGUCUUGAUGGUUUUUCAGGUUUUCUACAAAUUCCAAUGGCGCCUGAAGAUCAAGAGAAAACCACAUUUACUUGCCCUUUUGGUACAUUUGCCUAUAGACGAAUGCCUUUUGGUCUUUGUAAUGCGCCUGCUACAUUCCAAAGGUGUAUGGUUAGUAUAUUUUCUGAUUAUGUGGAGAAAUAUCAUAGAAGUGUUUAUGGAUGAUUUUACUGUCUAUGGUAAUUCUUUUGAUGAAUGUUUAACUAACCUCACAAAAAUUCUUAAAAGGUGCAUUGAGACUAAUCUUGUCUUAAAUUAUGAAAAAUACCAUUUUAUGGUAGACCAAGGCAUAAUUUUAGGCCAUGUGGUAUCUGCUAAAGGAAUUGAGGUAGAUAAGGCUAAGGUAGAAAUUAUCAAAUGUUUACAUUACCCCGCAAGUGUGCGAGAAGUUCGCUCUUUUCUUGGCCAUGCAGGUUUUUAUAGGCGUUUCAUCAAAGAUUUUUCAAAAAUAUCCCAUCCUCUAUGCAAAUUACUUCAAAAGGAUGUGGUAUUUCAUUUUGAUGAUAAUUGCAAGAGUGCAUUUGACACACUCAAGGGAUCAUUGACUUCAGCACCAGUGGUUCGACCACCAAACUGGAGUCUUCCUUUCGAGAUAAUGUGUGAUGCCAGCAAUUUUGCUGUUGGUGCAGUACUCGGCCAGAAAGAUGGCAGAGCUUCUUAUGUCAUUUAUUAUGCCUCGAGGACCUUGGACGGUGCCCAGUGCAAUUAUUCGACUACAGAAAAUGAGCUUUUAGCUAUUGUUUUUGCUUUAGAAAAAUUCCGUUCUUAUUUACUUGGCACUAAAGUCAUUAUUUAUUCUGACAAUGCAACUUUGAAAUAUUUGCUCAACAAGAAAGAGGCCAAACCACGACUUAUAAGGUGGAUUCUCCUACUCCAAGAAUUUGAUCUGGAAAUUAAAGACAAAAGGGAUGCUGAAAAUAUGGUUGCUGAUCACCUCAGUCGUUUGAUCAAUAGUGAAGGACCUGCUCCCUUGAAGGAUAAUUUUUCAGAUGAGCAUCUUUUUGUAGUUCAAAAGACAACUCCCUGGUAUGCUGAUUUAGUGAAUUAUCUUGUUAUUAGAACGCUACCUAAUGAUUUGUCUAAAGCUCAAAAGGAAAAAAUUAAAAGUGAUGCUAAAUAUUAUGUGUGGGAUGAACCAUACUUGUGGAAAUAUUGUUCUGACCAAAUUAUUCGCAGGUGUGUGUCUGAAGAAGAGGUUCCAUCAAUUUUAUCUUUUUGUCACUCAUAUGCGUGUGGUGGACAUUUUGGCCCUAAGCGAACUGCAAGAAAGGUUUUAGAGUGUGGUUUAUUUUGGCCAACUUUGUUUAGUGAUGCAUACUUAUUUUGUAAAUCAUGUGCAAAUUGUCAAAAGACAGGUAAUUUAAGCCAUAGAGAUCAAAUGCCUCUUACUCCUAUACUGGUUUGUGAAAUUUUCGAUAUAUGGGGUAUAGAUUUUAUGGGUCCAUUUCCUUCAUCUUUUGGUAAUAUGUAUAUAUUACUUGCAGUUGAUUAUGUCUCAAAGUGGAUAGAGGCUAAGGCAACUAGGACUGACAAUGCUAAGGUUGUAGUUGAUUUUAUUAAAUCUCAUAUUUUUAUCAGGUAUGGCACGCCAAGAGCAAUUAUCAAUGACCGAGGGACACACUUCUGCAAUCGAGUAAUGGAAGCAUUAAUGAAGAAAUAUGGCGUCACUCACCGGGUUUCUACGUCCUAUCAUCCGCAGACUAGUGGUCAAGCAGAAAUCUCCAAUAAAGAAAUCAAGUCGAUACUUGAAAAGACGGUGAAUCCCAAUAGAAAGGAUUGGAGUUUGCGCUUAGAUGAUGCACUUUGGGCAUACCGUACAGCUUUUAAGACCCCCAUAGGUAUGUCUCCUUACCGAUUAAUUUUUGGCAAACCUUGUCAUCUACCUGUGGAAUUGGAACAUAGGGCAUAUUGGGCAGUUAAAAAUUACAAUAUGCGGAUGAAUGAAGUUGGAGAACACAGGAAGUUGCAAUUGCAAAAGUUGGAGGAAAUCCGAAAUGAUGCAUAUGAGAGUUCUCCCAUUUAUAAGGAAAAGGCAAAAGCAUUUCAUGAUAAAGCAAUUUCAAGGAAAAUUUUUUAUAUUGGUCAAAAAGUACUUCUUUUUCACUCUAGACUUAAACUUUUUCCUGAUAAAUUGCGGUCACGAUGGAUAGGGCCUUUUAUUCUCACUAAUGUUUUUCCUCAUGGUGCAGUGGAAAUUCUAAGUCCAAAAACCGACAAGGUUUUCAAGGUCAAUGGCCAUCGUCUAAAACCUUUUUAUGAAGGAUUUCAGGCAUAUACCAUCGAGGAGUUGGCUCUCGAAGAGCCUACUUAUUCUGAUUGAAGUAUAAUUUUGUCUAGCCAAAGACAUUAAAGAAAGGCGCUACUUGGAAGGCACUCCGAGAGUUUCAAUUUUUUUUUAGUCAUUUUAUUUAUUUAUUUAUUUAUUAUUCUUCUUCUUUUUUUUGUUUCGUAUUUUUGUGUUAAAGGUGAGUUUAUUUUGGUUCCUAUUGACCGAAACUUUUUGUUGUAGGUAAACUCUUAGGCAGAAGACCUUUUGUUAUAAGGCGUGCCCACGCUUUAUGCUAAAGGCAGACCGUUGAUUUUCAAGACCUUUUGUUAUAAGGCGUGCCCACGCCCUAUGUUUGGAGUGCACUAUGGACUUUCAAGUUGGAUGGGUAGAAGAGUUUUUGUUAUAAAGCGUGACCAUGCCUUGUAGCAUUGUCUUGAGUUUGAUUUAAGUGGUUCGACAAAAAAAAAAAAAAGAUAGCAUCCCCAAUUCGGUUUGGGCCCGACUCUCUUAUGAGCGAGAGCUGCUAUCUCCCCUCUUCCAUUUGUCUCAAUUACCCUAGCUUGUUCCUUCUCCUUUCCUUUUCCCACAGCCUUGACCGAGCCUCCAAGAGCAAUCUUCUACCUUUGGUCUCUGUUGCUCCAUCAUCGGCGAACGCACCUCCAUGGGACUGCUCGCCUGAAGUUCCACCGAGUUCCAACAAGAAACGGGUACUAUCUAGGCUGCCUCUUCAUUCAUAAUUUUUUGGUAGUUCAAUUACAUCUAUUCAAAUUCCUUGCUGCCGAUUUCUAUUCUACCCCAGUUAACUGCACUUGAUUGCUUGGAUUUAUGGACAUUGGGUAGAUAUUUGGUUCUUGGUCAUUGGUUGAUUGUGCUUAUCAAAGUAGUAUUCGGUAGUCAAUUGCACAAGUGCCUUUGUUAUAGUCUUGCAAUCUUACAACAAUAGCUUGCGGGUCCCUCCAUUUUUGGCUUUAGAAAGCUUGAUUAGUCUUCCAUCCGUCCACAUAGCUUGCCAAUUGCAUGACUAUCUCCUAUUGUUUUUAAAAGACAAUUGUUAGUGGGUUGUUCAAUUCGAGUUUGGCUUCUACUGGGGAGUCCAUUUGGUUUCUUUCUUCGAUUGGGUCACAAUUACUCUUCAACUAUUGACCUUGGUGGGUGCUUUUGAAUUGUUGAACUAUGGCAAAGAAAAAGACUGCUUCAACGAAACCAAGUAAAACUCCGUCUGUGCCACCUGAACCUGCUCCCAAACCUAAGAAAAGAAGAGCCCCUAUCCAACCGAAGAAGAGGUCACGUUUGGGGAUUUGCAGAAGUACUCUGCCACCUGAAGACAACAAAUUGGGAGGUGCACUUGAUGGGUUCACUUCCGAGCAAAUAGAACGGCUUCAAAUGUUGCGAGUCAGACCUUUUGUUGCCUACAAAUCUGUCCAUCGCCCUACACUGGACCACCUGCGCAUUGCUAGUGACGUAGAUAGGUUGUUUGCUUCAAUUGGGUGGCAACGGUAUUUGACAAUUGAUUAUCCUUCUUAUAGUGAGUUAUCUUGGGAAUUUUACACUACAUUCAGCUUUGACAAACCAAGUAACUUAACUUUGAGUACCCCCGAUGUGGUAAGGUUUAGGUUGUUGGGUGUUGAUAUGCGUCUGUCCCUCAAUGAGUUCAAUAUACUUUUAGGUUUCAUCGAUCCGGAGGCUAUCUCAUCUCCAGAGUACAUGAACAGUGCCUGUGAUUAUGAACAGCCAUUCGCUAGGGAUUAUAUUGACAUUUGGAGAGAAUGGUCUGUGGAUAAGUUCACCUAUAAUCCUAGCAGGUCCAAGAGUUCUUAUUUGAAAGAUCCCGUUUUAAGAUACGUUCACAAGUUCUUAGCGUUCAACUUUUCUGGACGGAAGGAUGCGUCUUGUGUUUUAAGUAAAGCUGAAUUCUAUUUUUUGUGGUGCAUGGUCAAUAAUGUCAAAGUUAAUUUUGGAUGUUGGUUAGCUACUCAAUUACAGACCGUGCUCACCAAACCACACAAGCCAUUAAUAUUGGGGUCUAUUAUUACUCAUAUUGCUAACCGGAUGUGUGACUCUUUUGGGGCAGAUCUUGAACUGCAUGUUGCUCGUCCAACAGAUCCGUUGGAUUUGGCUUGUUUGGAGCGAAUGGGAGUUAUUCACCGUGUUCAGGACCAGUACCAGUUUGCAUCUCCGGGGGAGCUACGACUUCGGUCACCAGCUAGAAUCACUAUGUCCCCUGCUGCUGUCCCCACUGAUACUUUAUCUGCCGAAGAGGCAUGCCCUUCUACAUCCCUGCCAGGCCUACCAUCUAAACGGGAUGCUCAGUUCCAGAGUUUGCACGCACAGAUACAACGUCUAGACAGUCGAAUUGCCAAUAUCGAGCUUCAAAGUUCGCGGAUGGCGGAAAACUUGGCGGCUUACUUCGUUUCUGUGGGCUUCUCAUCGCCCUUUGCCCCACAUUCUUGAUCUUCAUGUUCAGGGACGUCCCUCUACCUUUCUUUUGCUCUUAUUAUCUUACAUUGCGGACAAUGUCAUGUUUAGGUGUGGGGGAAGGGUAUUUCUUGUAUGAAAAUUUGUGGCCAUUCCUAUAUUUGUAAUUUUGAGACAACUAAAAUGUAGUUUAGGUAGGAUGCAAAUGCAGUUGAGCUGCAAAUAUGAGUAGGGCAAUGUUACUAGCAUGAGUAGGUUAUUUUCUUGCAAUUGAUUUGAAUGAUGGAUGUGCUAGAUUUGACAUAAUUUCAACCAUUUUGUGAGCUUUCGGACUUUAUAAGCAAUUUAGUAUAUUUUGCUCUAUUUUCUUUUGUUGAGUGAUAUCACACAUGAUUUAACAUUCUAGAACUUGCUUCUCUAUGCAUGUUGAGACCAUGCUUGAAUUUGAUGCAUUAAAAUGAUAAGGGCAAUUAGGUUUAACCCUUUUGACUUUCUAAAUGCCUCCCCCAAUUAUGUUUACCCAUAGUUAGCCAUGUUUGAGGCUCAAUCCUUUUCUUCGUUAAUAGCCAAAUUUGUUACCUUAAACCUUUUUGUUUAGACCUUUUCAUUCGAACCUUGUGUCAAAGGAAUGCCAUAAUAUUCUUGCAUGACAAUUUCAAGUGUGUUCCAAAAGUACGUUUAUGGUUGGCAAGUAUGAUAGUUAUGUUGGUUCUAAAAAAAAAUGAUGAAAAAAAGGGAAAUGGAGAAAGAAAAAAAAUACAAAAAAAAAGAGAAUUUUUUUUUUUUUGUGAAGUGCACUUGUGUCGUUUUGUGAUAGUUGGGCUAAUGCCUAAAUUGCGUUUGCACUUGCCAAAUUUAGUGAAGUUAUUAACACUCUUGGAAGCCAGCUAUACAUGUGAAUGAUAAAGGAGUUUGAUUUCAUGCAGAGUAUUAUUGGUAUUUCCUUUGAUAUAUGUACACCUAAAUAAUUCCCUUUAUCCAACCCUUAACCCAAGCCCCGUUACAACCCUUAUAAAGACCCUUUGAUUGUUGCAUUGAAUUCAUUUUAAGUGGUGGAAAUGUGAUAUAUUAGCAAGCUUAUGGUAAUGUCAUUGCAUGGAGUUGAUUUGAGUGCUAAAUAUCCCUGAAACACUAGAGUGCAGAGUGUAUAUACUUCUAUCCAUGUGAGGGUUGUUGAAACUGGUGCAUCGUGAUUUUGAUGAAAUUGUUGAGAAGACAUGAUACUUGUGUUAAUAUGCACUGUGCUAUCCAUGUUUGCCAUCUUGACUGUGAUUCUUGAGUAGUGAAUGCUUGAGGGCAAGCAUUGUUUAGGUGUGGGGGAAUUUGUUAAGUGAUUAAUUAUGCAUAUAAUUGGUGAAUAUUUUCCCCUUUAUUUUGCUAAAAUAUGGUGUUAAUUGAUGAAUUUUACUCAUAUUUGAUUUUUGGUGUUGUUUUUAGGAAUUGUUGGUGAGAAUGGAGUAAAAGGUGCAUUAAAGACUAAAUUUUCAGAAGACUGCACUCUAUAAGACGUGGGCACGUGAGAAAACCAAGUGACAGACGGAAUCCACGGAGUUGCACUUGCCGUGUCUUUGAUUGCUACAUUAGCCACAAAUUGGAAGUGCUGAUCAAUUGGAACGAAAUCUUUGUUUCUUGAUUGAGAUAAACCCUGUUAAUUAGUAUUUUAGGGAAAAACAUUUGAUUUUCUUUUUAUUAGUACUAUACUUAUUAGAAUUAGAGUCCAAAGAGGACUCUCCUUUUUGGUGAAAGGAAACGUAGGAGUAUAAGAAUGAAACAAAGCCUUCGGCUGAGGGGGCGCUCUCGAAUCCUUUUUCUCCUUUUUCCUCUUGACAGACUAUAAACGCUAGUAUUUUGUCGCCGCGAAUUCACCAUGAGGAGCGGCUAAUUUCUUUUCUAGUUGAAGGAUAAUUGAAGCUUUGGUUCGACAAUUCUGUGAGAUCUAAUUUGAUUUAUUUGCUUCAUCUAUUUCUGAGUAUUUACAUAUUCCCUGUCAUCCAUGUUUAUGAUUAUUUUCUACAGUUAAAUACCUGAUCAAUAUUUAAUUGUUGAAAUAGUCUAUUGCCAUCUAAAAUAUCAAAUCCGUAAUUGUUUGGUGGUUUUAGUAUCUGUGGCGCGUGAUGUAAUUUGAUUGUAAAAGAAACUUUCGAAUCUAUGUCACGGGAAUAUAUAACCUAGCUUAAAUGAACCGAGCUUGUGUGUUUGUUGGUUAGAAUUGGUAGCUUCUCUAAUUAUUAAUGCUGUCAAUAGGUUAAAUCCUAAGAGCUUGUUUAGGGUUGCUUAAUUGGCAAGAGAAAUAGCCACAGAGCGUGUUGUGGUUAUCGAAGCAGUAAGGCGAGGCAGGUUGUCAGAGCGUGUUGACGACCAUAACCCGUUUAUUCAUGAAUAAGUGAUUUCACCUUUGCAUCGAUGAUCAAUUAAAUGAAACAAAGUGGAGAUUAGACCUUCGACUAGAGUGUUGCCUUUUCUUGAUUUAGUUUUAUUUAAUUUUGUGAUACUGUCUUUAUUUUUAUUCAAGUAAGCUAUUUGGUUAAUUUCUCCUAAUCCCCCAUUUUUCACAAAGAAAUAAAUCACCCAAUUCCUGUGGAUACGACCCUACUCACUGCUAUGCUCGAAUUCAAAUUUUAGAGUAGGAACUUUUAUUUUUGCUGGUUUGACACGCCAACAGAACUACCCAAUAGAACUAACUUCACCUAGGCUCUUUUUUUGUCAAAUUAUUAAUUUAGGAGAAAAUAGCCACUGAUCUUCUAGUCUAAAGGGAAAGAUUGUGAAGCACAACGUCUUGACAUUUAGUUUGGUUGUGCUUUUGAUUUUUAAGAAUUUUGGAUAUGUGCUUUAAACCUUAUAAUGUUAAUUUCAUGUAGAGUUUACUUCUGAGGAGGAAUUUCAACAUUCAUUUCCCUAUCUUCUUAUCAUAAUUUGUCUCUUACAUGGUCAAGAGACAUGGUUUCUUUCUCACCAAACUCCUAUUUCCAAUUUAACUUAAAAUGGAAUCAAAAUUGUCAAUAUGACUAAUUCUAAGCAUGUUUUUCCUUAGUUUUCUCGUUUUCGUUUAAAUUUUCCUCAUAAUCAGAUUCUGUUAAUCACAUGUAGAUGUUGGUGUAUAAGUUCAAUUAUUUCAAGAAAAAAAGCACAAAAAAGUACCCCAAAAAAAAUCCUAAACAAGAAACACGUAAAGAAAGGACUUUGCAAAUACUAUUAGUUUUUUUCCAAACGAAAUGCUAUUAGUUACCUUCCCUCUAGUUUUGGAGACCAAGAUUGAAAGUUACAGCUAGAGAAUAUGAGGUUCAAUCAUCUGUGGAGGUGGAGAUUAGAUCAGAGAGACAAAGGAUUGCAACUCUUGGUAAAGUGACCGUGAGGGAAGAAUCGGAGGAAAAUGAAAUUAAGGGCUUUGGAUGUUUGAGGAGCUCUUGGAUGUCUAUGGAGGUGUUCUAUAGUUCUGUGACUCUAUUUGAAGAAGUGAAGAGAAGAAUCAGUGCUUAGAGAUGAAGAGAAGCUGAAGCCGUGAUCGUGAGGUUUUUUUUUGCAUAUUUUGUUUUAGUAUUUACUAAUUAUAUAUUUGGAUAUAUAAUUGUAUAUAAUACCAAAAUAUAAAUAAUAUAUAUAGUACCUAUAUAUAUAAUUAUAUUACAAAAACAUAAAUGUUAUAUAUAUAUAUAUAUAGCUAUAUAUAUAUAGGUAAUUAUGGGGUCGGGCCUAUAUGGGACUUGAGCCUAAUGAGAUCCACGUUCGGCUCAAAUUUUAUUCAGGACUCAGCCCGGCUCACUAAUAGGUUAUAUAUAUAUAUGUGUGUGUGUGUGUGUGUGUGUUAUAUAUAUGUGUAUAUAUAUAUAGGUAAUUAUAGGGCUAGUCCUAUAUUGGGCUUGAAUCUAUUGAGGGCCAAACUGGACUUAUAUUUAAUUUAAACCUAGUUUUUAGGGCCCAAAUUCAGCCCAACUCACUAAUAGGUUAGGCUCAUUGGGCUUUUUAUUGGGUCGAAUAGGUCAGACUCAGGCUGACUCUAUAAAACUUGCCUCUCAAUUGUGACCCACAUGAUUGAUUCUAAAGUGAUUGAUAUCCUAAUUAAUUGAUUGACAGUUUGUCAAUAACUAAUUAGUAUCUCCUAUUCGUUAAUUAUUGAUUGUUGUAUCUUUUGCUAACCGAUAUCUCAUUCAAUCAAUUAACCAAUCAAAUGAAUCAAUUAGUCAUUAAAGAUUAUGGAUUAUGGCAAGAUUUCCUUGAUGGAAGGAAACCCUGGGGAUUUUGAUAAUUGCCAGUAAGGGUCCGUAGUCUAACCUAUAAAUAACUUGUGGUAUUCCAUCAACACUACACUCUCUGAUUAGGUAUAGACUAGAAGCUUCUUACUCUAACUUCUUCUUCUACAUAUUUUUAUUUAUUUUUAGAAUAGACAAGAAGGAGUCAAAGAGACAAGGAGAGACCAACUUAUGCUUGACAACAAUGGUUAGAGUUAAGUCUACUUAGAUUUCUAUUGCAUAGUACAUUCAUAUGUACAUAAUUAGUAUAACAUGAGGUAUUAGAGCCAAUUUCUAACCAUGUUGUUCAACUUAAAACUUCAUGGCUUAUCGGCAAUCUGAUAAAAAUUUUAGAGAUUCACAUCAAGUUUGAACAAAUUGAAUUUAAUUUGGAAUGGGAUCUAUGGUCUCAUUUUCUCAAGAAUUGACAUUUAUUGACUAAUCCCAUAUAGAUGUAUCAUUCAUAUGAUAUCUUAUUUGGCUAUCUAAUUCAUUCAUAUUUUCUCCAAUAAUAUGGUAUGACUACAAGUAAUUUGAAUGUUUCUUGAACUUACAUAUUUGUAAUUGAAAGCAUUAAAUGUAUUGAUUUUUGUUAUUAAUAUAAUAUAACAAUUCAAGAAACAUAUAAAGAGUUGUUAUAUUCAACAAUCAAAAGAUUAAUAUCAUAUUAAUCUAUGCAAGAUGAUUGGCUGACUUUGUAUGAAUGGAUCUUCAUGCUUAUUGAAUCUCUACUGCCGUAUUAUGAGAUAAAUUCUGAAGGCAUGAUUUCAAUAUCAAUUUGCCUCUACAUUCUUGUUAUUAUUUGGAAUUAUGUAGUGUUUUUGUGCACUACACUUAUAUUCAUUUAUCUCAUAUUAUGAUGUCAACAUUAGUAUGGUUGAUUACAUUUGAAUUUCAUAGAAUUUCCUUUUAAAGUUUUUUUCCAUCUCAAUUAUUUGAUGCAUAAAUAUUUUAAUCACAUAAAAAUUGGUGUUUAUAAAAGGAAAUCAAGAAAUUGUUUUGUCAAAAUACAGAUUGUUUGACUAUUUUGAUAUUCUUAUAAAGUUUAGCACACUAUAUGUUUGAAAGUAGCCAUAGCAUCUCAGACAUUUGUGUAUUAUAAUUUUGGUCACAUACAGUUUAGUGAUUAAAAUCAAGGAUUUCUGGUCAACAAGUUGGCUACUUAUUUUCUAUGAAUUAAAAAUUUUCUUGUAUCAUAUAUUUGGGAGUAGCCACAGCAUCUCAAAUAUACAGUGUAAAGAACUUUAACAACAUAAGAUUAAGUGAUUAUAAAAGGAAAGGAAAUUUCAAUAAAAUUCAAUCAACAUAAAGUUUUUUGACUAUUGACAAAUAAUUAGAUGCCAUGCCAAGAAUUUCACUUUUACAUUAUAUAUUUGGGAGCAGCCACAGUAUCCCAAAUAUUUGAUGUGAAAAGUUUUUCAUCAUAUACAGUUUGGUGAUUGAAAUUAUGGAUUUUUAGUCAACAUAUUGGCUAGUUGACAAUUUUUCUUAUAAUGCCAUAUACGUAGGAGUAGCCAUAGUAUCUUAAGUAUAUUAGUGUCUGGAGAAAUUUUGUAUUUUUUCACAUAUUGUUGAGUGAGUAAAGAAAUUAAAAAAAGGAAUCUAUAUAAAGUUGCAAUUAAUUCACUAAGAUAGUUAUUCGACCACACAAGGAGGUAAUUAUUUUGGUGAGAUUAAUUGACAUGAGAUGGUAAAUUAGAAAGUAAAUUAAGAGAUAUUUCUAUGCCCACAGUUACAAAUUAUUUCUUCAAUUUAUUGUUUUAGAUUACUAGUCUUAUGAUUAAGGAAAGUAAAUUAUAUGCAUUUUUCAGCCUUUGGCCACAGGAAGGUUUGAAAUUACUAUUUGAAUUGACACAAGGUUGAUUAAAAUCAAGGUACAAACUUCAUAGCAUUUUUAUAAUAUAGUUUUUGAUUGUUAAUUUAGUGUUUCAUUCCAAUGAUUUUAUGGUUCUUAUUAGGUUGACUUUUAAAUUCAUUCUCCUUUGUUUUGGGUGCAAGUUUUAAAUUAGCACUUUUAUGAGAAUGAACAAACCAUUCUCAUAAUAUGGAUAUAUUUGCUAAUAUAGAGGUUGAGUAUGAGAAUUAGAAGCAAUUUAGUAGUUUGCUCAUUCUGUCUCAUAUUCACAUAAAAUAGGGUUCAAACCCUAAUUAUUUAUAGUUAAAUCUUGCAUGAAAGUCAUAAAGAAAUUAUUGCAAGUUUUCACUAGCACCAUUAGAAGGCGUGACACUUAAAUAUUAAAGUGUAUUUUGAAAAGAUGAGAAUUUUGCUAUAUCAUGAAUUAAAGUCCCAUCAAGUUGAGAUUGAGUUAUUUCUGUAGCAUGUCAUUCUUGAUUCUUUCAUAAAUAAUUUCUUAGCCAUUCAAACCUUUAUAAUACACAUAAAGAUAUAUGGUUAAUCACUUGUUUUAACCAUGUGUAUUAAAAAAGAAUAAAGAGGUUAAGAAAUAAGAGAAACUUAACCUUUAUGAAAGAAGAAAUGCAAAGAAAGGUAAUUUUGUUCUCAAUAAGUCAAACAACAAUAAAGACCAAUAUUGUUUGUAACAAAGUGAUACUUGAUGCUUUACCUUGAGAGAAAGUAACUCAAAAGAAAAUCUCAAUUGUUGAGUGUUAUAACUUGUGAUAUAUUGGUGAAUUGGCUAAAGUCUGUGAAUUUGCAUUGCUAGUAUAAUAAGUUUCUGAUUAUAUGCAAAGUGAACAAAAGUUUCUUUAUAGCAACUAAAAAUAUUCACAUAAAGUGAUGUAUUAUUGCUCAUUUCAAGAAAAUUUAUUUUUCUAAAACAUUAUUUUCUUAUUACUUUAAAAUUUUUAUUUUCAAAUUAAUUACUAUCGGGUAUGAUUAUGAACCUCAUUAUCCAGUGGUAGAUUUUGAAAAUAGUGAAGUUAUUAAUUCUAAAGUUUCCAGUACCAUCUUUUGAAUUGAGCAAUAUGCUGCACUUGACCACAAUAAUUAUAUUGAUAGCAAAUAUGUUUAUCACUAGGGGAAAUUCCUUAAAUUUUGGCAUAGGAGAUUGAGAUAUAUCUCAUUAAAAAAAUAAAGAGUUGAUAAAUCAUAAAUUUUUAAAGAUUUUAGAUUUAUUAACUAUGAUAUUUUAAGUAGACUGCAUAAGUAAAGCAGACUACUCAACUAUUAUGGAUGCCAUAAGAGUUUCAUUAUACCACUAAAAUUUUGUGAAUUAUUUUCUAUCCUUUUUUUUUUGUGAGGGAUAUUUAUCUCAUUAUUAGAUAAUUAUUCAUCAAAUAUAAAGCUCUUUUCUUAUUUGAUAAAGAAUCAAUAUUUGAUACCUAUGCAAGUAUUCAAACGAGAAAGGAAAUUUGAAAUUUGAAGCAUAGAAAAUAAAAUGAAGGCACACCAAAAAAAAGGCUAUCCUAUUUGUGCUCAUUAAAUAGGAAACAUUGCUAAUGAGUAAAAGCAAUGCUUGAUUGGUUUCAUCCAAUGGUGUACUUUAAGGAAAUAAUGAGAUACUUGUGGAUAUAGCAUAUUGGCAAUAUUUAUAUCUUGUGCGUAAUGCCUUGAAAUUGAAGUAUAUACUUAAACAAUUUCUUCCAAAAUUAUUUAAACACCACUUUGAUUAUGAUAUGGAUAAAAAUCAAGUUUAAGAUAUUAUGUUUAGUUUUGUGAGGGUGAUCAACCUACACAUAAAGAAACUGUACAAAAGAAACAAGACUAUCUUGCUCCAAGAAAUUUAGAUUCUUUUACACUUCAAAAAUUAUUAGAACUGGAGAUUUAAAUUUCUUAAGAGCAUGAAGUAAGUAGGAGUGUUUUGACUCUAGAAUGGAGUAUUGAAAAGGUAAGAUUCAUAUUUGAUUCCUUUGAAUAUGGAAAAUUGAUAACUUUUCUCAAAAUUAUUAUUUAAUUAUUUUAUAUAAGCAAUCGAAUGAAAAACUCCUUGUCAAAUAAACACAUGAAGUAAAUCUACAUUGAACCCACUGGUUGAGUUAUCUUAUAGACAGCGGGAGGAAAAAUGUUCUCUAUAAAAAAUUGAAGUUCUUUAAUUACUAUGUUGUAUACCUACAAGAGUUUAAGGAUGAAUUGUGUAAUGUUUUCAUGAGGUGCAAAUGGAGAAAUCUCCAUGUUCAAGAAUAGUGUCACAAAUUACCACAAAAUCUCUACCAAAUUUGAGAGAUUAUAUUUGGGGUAAUUAUGGCACUAGUAACUCACUAUUAGAGGUACAUUAGAUAAAUAUGAAAAUGAAUGUCCUUAACGCAAUUCUUGAUAAUUAGGCAUAUACAUGUGUCACCAUGGUAGAGAAUGUAAUUUAAACCAAAUUAUUGCUCCUCAAUAGUAUAUUAAUUUGUUCUUCAUUUGAUCUUAGAAGAAUUUUUCUAGUAAAUUAAUAUACAUUAAGGUUAGUGGGAGUAAUACUAUGAGAGUUUUUCUCAAUCAUGAUAUUUGUGAAACCCUUCUAUCAUUAGUAUUCACAAAAUAGAAUGUAAAAGAUAGUUAAUCUGUCUUAGAACCUUCAUGCAAGAGUUCUUUGAUAAUAAAGAACAAAUAUUACUUUUAAAUAAUCAUAGUGAACAAUUGCAUAAUGUUCACAUCAUGCAUUGGAAUGAAUAUAAAUUCACCAAGAAUGCUAUGAAGUUAUACCACAGGCAUCUACUGUUUGGCCUAAAGUUUGUCGAUAUUGUAUUUUGGCUAAUAUAGAUAUUUGAUUUGAUUAUACCCUUUCAUUAUGUAUACAUGAAAGAGUGGGAGUCAAGACAUGCAGGUCGACAUAAGGUAUUCAAUAAUUAUUUAGAAAAUAAAAUGUAGCUAUUGAGUACACAGCAAGGAGUUAUUAUUGUUGAUCAACAAUUAAUGGUUACCGAGUAAGUUGUUAAUGAUCAAGUUGUUAAUGAUCAAAUAACUCAUAUAGAACUCACUAGGUCAUUUAGUAUUUUGCUAUUAUUCUAAAACUAUUGUUGUUGUCUAGACACUCGAAAUACUUAUGUUUACAUGAUUUUGUGCACAUUAUUGUUCAUGUAUAAAGUAAAGAUCAUGUGAUCCAUAAAGUUGAAUCCUGAUUAACUUAUAUGAAGUUAUUCAUAAAAUUUUUUUAAAGCACUUGAUUAGAAAGUAUAAUAUAUUGUAAUAGAUAGAAGGAAGUGUUUGCCAUGAGAACAUAAUCGCCAUGAUUUGUGUAUUAUUAUUUUCUAAUUAAACAACUAUUACAUAAUUGUUGAAUUUGGUGAGUGACAAACAAAACUUAUGGCCAUUUUAAGUAUCUAGUCACUCAUAUGUUAACUGACUAUUUCAUGUGGGUCAAGUGGAAGAAAGUAAAACUUGCCUCUUUUAGAGGCAAUUGUGACCCAUAUGAUUGAUCCUAAAUUGAUUGAUAUUUUCAAUAAUUAAUUAAUAUCUCCCAUUUGUUAAUGAUUGAUUGGUGUCUUUUGCUAAUUGAUAUCUGAUUCAAUCAAUUAAUUAAUCAAAUCAAUCAAUUAGUCAGAAAAGGUUAUGGAUUAUGACAAGAUUUUUUUGAUGGAAGGAAACCUUAGAGAUUUUGAUAAUUGCUAUUAAGGGUCCCUGGUCUAGCCUAUAAAUAGCCUAUGGUAUCCCAUCAACACUACACUCUCUGAUUAGGUAUAGACUAGAAACUCCUUACUCUAACUUUUUCUUUUACAUAUAUAUAUUGGAAUAGACAAGAAAGAGUCAAAGAGAUAAGGAGAGACCAAUUUGUACUUAAUAACAAUGGUUAGAGCCUUAGAGGCAAGUCUAUUUAGAUUUCUGCUGCGUAGUACAUUCACAUAUACAUAAUUAGUAUAACAAGCUCGACCCUAUUGACAAUUCUAUUUUGUAUGUAUAUAUUCUUGCUGUGACGACUCUCAAUAGUGCACAAGUACCGCGUUUACUCUUGUCAAACUGUGUCUGCAAUUAGAUUGAUUUUGAUUACAGAGUUCAGGGGACAAUGCGAAAGAAAUGCUGUGUAAGGGACCUCUGUAUUUUCUCAGUGCAAAAUUCAUCCAAAUGAGCUCGUGCUAGACUCCUGCUUGAUUGGAUCUUGGUUUUGAGCUGAAAUUUAACUCAAUUAGUUGGUAAGGCUAGCUGGAAUCAGUUAGAGCCAUUUAUUGGGUAAGCAAAGCUCGGAGUUUUCUAACCAAGACAUAAAAAGCAUGAUAAUGCAGCAGAGGACGAUGUGUGCUGGCCUCCUUUUGAUAAAAUCCAACUUUGGUGGGGUAGGGGGUUGGCUAAAAUGUAAGUUGAAAUUUUGGAAAAUGAGAAUAUAGGAAGAUUCAAAUUUCAUAGGGAUAAUUUUAGAAACCUCCUCUAAGGUUUCUGAUAGCUUCACUGCCUUCCCCUAAAGUUUUAAAUAUAUCACUAACCUCCCUUGAAACUAAAUUUUCUUGUAACAAAUUAGCGCAAUUCAAAAAAAUUAAUAAUAAAAAAAUGAUUUCAAGAGUGAGAAAAAUAUUUCAUACAAAAGUGCCCCUCAACUAAUUACUAGUUGGUUGACUUAGAAUCAAAAGGGAAUAUUAGUUAAGAAUAGAAAAUAAAAACCAUAGUUACAAUGUGUCAGUGUAAGUAAGGCAAAUUACAAUACUAGCAUGAGCCCACUAGAAUUCAAUAACAAUGGCUCGCAAAAUCAAAGAAUUGGAAGGAAAUUUUAUUAAUUUAGAAUCAAUAUUUACACAUUGAAUUCCUAAAUUCUUAGUGGUGAAAUUUGGAAGAUUUUGAGUAAGAAUUAAAUAAGACGAAGUAUGACCUUUUCAAGAAAAAUGCCACAUUAAAUAAAAAAUAAAAAAUAUGAUCAAAUAUUUUUUGAAUUAUUUCUUUUACUUACGAGGUCCAUUAUUUCAUAUGAUUACUAAGAAACUUCUAUCAUUUGUAACAAAAAAAAAAAAAAACAACUCUCAGGCAAUGUUUGCAUGAAUAGAAUGGAAAUGACUUUAAUGGAAAAUACGUAAAUCAAAGUGGAGAAAAUCAUUUUUAACAAUCUUUUUGGAAUUAUGUAUACAAAGAAAAAGAAAAAAAUAUUUUUGAAAUAUAGGGAGAGAAUAGAUUAUGUGUAGUUACACUUUAUCUAAAACUUAAUAAAAUUUAAUUUGUAAACAUAUUUUACAAUUUAUCAUUUUUGUGCAUUUUUGUAUUCAUCUUGUUAUUUUUAUUAAAAAAAAACUUAUGAAAUAAUAAUAUCUCAAUAGGAAUUUUAAUCUUUUUUGGGCGAAGAAAUAACAAGAACUACUAAAAUUAAAAAAAAGAAUUUAAAAUGUUAACAAUUAUUGUUAUAAAAUUUGGUAUUCAAGAUUUUCAAGCUUUUUUACAUUCCAAAUUAUGGCAGUACAAGUGGCUCAACUAUCUCUCCAUACAACUAUGUAUAAUUUCCCAAGUUGUAGGGUAAUAAAGUCAUUUGACCAUUGAUGUGGUAAGCAUUGGAUCCCAAUUGGUUGACUCGGGGGAGGGUAAGUGAUAUUUUAAAAAUCUUGGAAGAGGGCAGUAAGAUUGCCAUUGAAAUUAUCCCAAUUUCAUAAGUAGGGCGGAACUUUUUAUUAAAUUUGUGGAUGGGCUAUGGGUUACUACUAUUCACCAAACGAACAGAUUUUUGGCUAAGUAAUUAAAUCAGACUUGUAACAAUGUACUUUGUCAAGAGCAAAAAAAAUUCUUUUUUGAAAUGUGCAUCUUAUCGAACAAUAAUAUGCACCUAAAUGAUAAAAAUAUGUAGUUUGGUAAAAUGUACAUAAAUCCAAAUAUGCACAUCUAAAUUGAUAGAGCUGUGUAUAGGUAUAAUCAAAUUACACAGAUACAAGUCGCAAUAUGUGCACAUAAGGGUAAUUUUCUUAUUAUACUCACAAUAUUUCUUUUAAUAGUUCAUAAACAGUAACUUGCACCUCAUUCAAGGGGUAGGGAUGGGUUGGAUGUUAGAAAGAAGGGAAUGAAAGUGAAAUGUCCUGGAACCAAGAGCUCCCAGCUAUACUAAAAAAAAAAGAGAGAAAAAAAAAUCAAACCUCAUUCAUAAAUUUUCCAAAACUUACACCUUCUUUUGAAUUUUAAAUCUUUCUAUUCCCUUUCUCCAAAUUAUCCCAAAAUUUAAAUUAGUUGGUGGGAACACGAAAAAAUAACUACAAACAUUAGUUUAAAUAUCUGAUCAUGAAGAAGGCAGGGACAACUAUUUUUUUUUUUUUUGUCACAACGAUAGGAUUGUUAUAACCUAAUCUAAUCUAAUCUAGGAAGAGGAGACUCGAUGUGAGUACAAACUCCAUCGAAUGGCCACUAAAAAUCGUCACAUAUUGUGACAAAUUUUUGUAGGAGGCAAAGGUCGAACCCUUGACCUCCCGCACCACCAAGCCAUAGAAGGCUUGGCAGUGACCACUGGACCUGGACCAAAGGCCCAGAGUGGCAGGCAGGGACAACUACUUUUUUGCCAGAAGCUAAAGAGUAAUUUCUAACCUUAAACCCACAGUAAUACCAAAAGCCGGUAACUUCUGGUACCACUGAGUAGACUAUAAACUACACUCACACACCCAACUCAAACGAUGUGGGAUACGGGGAAGGGAACAAGGGGACUAACCCACUCACUCUGUUUUUAACCCUACCACUGAUCUUGUUUCUUUUUUGCCAGAAGCUAAAGAGUAAUUUCUAACCUUAAACCCACAGUAAUACCAAAAGCCGGUAACUUCUGGUACCACUGAGGAGACUAUAAACUACACUCACACACCCAACUCAAACGAUGUGGGAUACGGGGAAGGGAACAAGGGGACUAACCAACUCAAACGAUGUGGCAGGCAGGGACAACUACUUGAAUGGGCAUUUUCUGAAUAGAUCUAGACGCCUUCACUUGAAUGGGUCAAGGGAGGCCUAAUUUGAGUGAUGUGAUUUUCAGUAGCAUGAAAGAUAGUAGUGUAACUUCGAAAAUUAUAAACAUAUACAAAACUCCCCCAAUCAUUGAAAGUUAUAAACAUAUAUAAAGGUCCCUUAGUCAUUACAUGUAUUGUUCAGAAUUUUAAAUAUUCGUGAAAGUGUAUAAAAAUCACAAGUCAAAUAUCUAAGCUAUAGGGUUAACGAUAUAGGAUGACGAUUGAGAAAAAUUACAGUUAGAGUCUUUUGUGGCUUUCAAAAUUACAUGGUUUUUCACAUUCCUAUUUUCCUUUUGUUAUACACUUAAAUCGAUGUUGUUUGCCAGGAUAAAUAUAAACGUGGCCCAAAAGGAGUAGGAACUAUCUCGUGCACCAGCAUACGUAGAUUUAUUGUAUAACUAAUACUAAUAUGUAUAUUUGUUGGUAGUGAAAGUAGAGAGAAAUUUAUACUUUCAUUCACUAGUUUGUUUGGAGUUCACAAGAUUGCAAAUGAGGUUGGAAUAACAUCUAUUUUCAGGCAAAGCAAAAUGAAUAAUACAUUAACUAACUUUAAUACUUAUACAUGGAAUAGUACAUCAAUAUGAUAAAAUUGAGUUGUUUCAUGAGAAGAUAAGUGUAUCACAUUAAUCUAGGGGGAAAAUACAUGUAUUAAUCCUCUAGGGGAAUUGAAUGGACAUCCACAUCUAUUUGUAUUUGUUUCAUAACAAGUUUGGUGUUUUUGCCAUUUUUUUUUUUGGGUAAUCAUGAAAAGUUUCAAGUCUCACAAAAAAUGAUAACUCUUUUUGUUUUAAUCCGUCGAGACGUUGGUUUACACUAUUAUCUCGCUGCAACAUAGUUCCAACAUAUUUCUCAAAAUAUUUUCAUCUAACUUUGAAUUCAUGUAUAUUCCUGUUUGGUUAAGUUACACUGAAUUUCUUUAACAAUUAUCAUUCAAUUCAAUAUACUUUAAAAUAAGUUACAUUAAAAGAACCGUUUUCUCUUAGUCUUAAAAAGAAUUAAGUUAGUAAUAUUCAUAUUUGAGAACAACACGUUACCCACACUAAGUCUAGAAAAGAAUUACUGAUGUAUCAGAAUUAUCGUUUUCGAAAAAAAAGAUGUAUCUGUUUAUUCAAAAAAAAAAAAUCAGUGUUUUACUAAUUUAGAUACAAAAAAUCAACAAAAUUGAGAUGCUGUACAGAAUAUUGAAAAGGGGCCAAUUGUGUCAAGACUUCAUGUUUUCUCACCAAAGCUAUUGGGCACCACUCAAAAAAGUCAUAUAGAGCCAAGCCAAAGCAAAAAAAAAAUAAUAAUAAUAAUAAAGAAGGCAACAAACUGGCCUGUGCAGUGACCUUAUCCUUUUGGAUUCAUUUCAGUGGAUAAGAUUCAUUUACACUUAUAGUGAUAUAAAUCUGCAUCCUUCUUCAAAAGCAAAAAAAACCUCCCCUGUUAAUGAUCAUGGAAGUCAUCUAUAGCAUCCUAGUUCUCAGUUUCUUGGUAGUCUUAGUUGCUAUAAAACAUCUUCAAGAAAACAAGAGAACGCUAAAGCCUCCAAGUCCACCAGCUCUCCCAAUUCUAGGCCAUCUGCACCUCCUGAAAGCUGCCCCUCACCGUGCUCUUCAACUUCUCUCCAUCAAAUACGGCCCCCUGAUUUCCCUUCGAUUUGGGAUUCGUCCUAUACUUGUUGUUUCCUCACCAUCUCUUGCAGAGGAAUGCUUCAGUAAGACUAAUGAUGUUAUCUUUGCUAACCGACCAGGGUCCAUUUCUGGCAAAAUCCUUGCCUACAACAACAGUACUCUCGGGUUCUCUCCUUAUGGAGACCACUUUCGAAAUCUCCGCCGUGUUACCUCCAUCCAUAUUUUUUCUUCCGUUAGUCUCCACAACUUUUCCUCAAUCUGGACAGAGGAAAUCCGUUUCAGUGUCAAGAAAUUGUUCUCAAUGAACUCUGAUGACAAAGUGUGGAAAGAUGUAAACAUGAACUCUGUGUUCUUGGAUUUGGUAUUCAAUGUGAUCAUGAAAAUGCUUGCAGGGAAAAAAUGGCCAUCUGAUAAAACAGCUGAUUUGUUUCCGCUGAUCUCCGUCAUGGGUAUUUGUGAUUAUGUCCCUGUCUUGAGAUGGAUUGGAUUUCGAGGGUUGGAGAAAAAUUUGAUCAAUUUACAGCAAAAGAGGGACAAAUUAUUCAGGGAUCUCAUUGAUCAAACUAGGAAAAAGGAAGGUGAAGGUGGCUCAUGCUCGACUGAGCAGAGAAGAACUGUUAUCCAAGCAUUGCUGUCGCUUCAAGAUGCUGAACCUGAAUUCUUAACUGAUGAAACUGUCAAAGGGAUCAUGCUAGUAAGCCAACUUGCCAUUUCUCUUUUCUCCUUAACAUAUUUUUUGCUUUGGUAAUUAUUGCUCUUUAUAUCCGGUUUCUAUUUUCAUAUUUCAUUUUUUUUAAUGCAAAUCAACCUUUUCUCCAAUUAGUCAGUGAACUCCUCUUCUAGCUGGUAAUCUCUUUCCUCCACUCAAAAAAUUUGACUGAAUGAGUAUCUUUUUCCUUAUUAACUUUUGUUUAAGCAAUCCUAUGGUAACCACAAUUUUCCCUUGUAGCUUUCGUUGAAGCAAAUCCUAUGUGCAUAUGACACUAUGACAGCAUCCAUGCUAUACUAGAAUGGUUGUGUGACCUAGAUGUAGGUCGAAUUUUUGAAAAUUCAAAAGAAAAUUAUCUUUUUGAAUUUGUAACGAUCUGGCGACUCAGAUCGAAACUGCAAAUUACCUCAUGCAAUUAGCUCUUGGUUCUCCACACUGCGGAUCCAAAGUGGCAAGAGAUGACAUAAAAGUAUCAAAUUCAUGUUGCUCUGCAUUAUUUGCAUUUUAGUGAGGUAUGAGGUGUAAGGUCAUGUCAUGUUGAAAGCUCAGCCUACAAAAGGGGUCCAAUCAAAAAUAUAUAUUUUGACAGAUCAAGCGUUUAUUUUGUCUUUUUCCUAUUAAUUGUUUGUAGAUUAAAUAUUUCUUUCUAAAAUGUCAUCCGAAGGUACAUUACCAAAUAAAAUUUGCUUUUGACAAUUUUGAAGAUCAAAAUAGUCAUCAGAUUUGUGAACGUCAUUGUUUUAAAGAAUUACUCAUAGAGAACAAUUUAGAAACCCAUUGCAAAGGAGAACAAGCCACAUAUAAUAACAUAUCAAAGUAAACUAUGGAAACUAAGAAGAAAUUUUUUUAAAAUACUUUAUUCAAUCUUUCAAAAAUCCUUGUCAGUCGUUCCAAUUAAAAAGAAUUCUUCCAUGAUCAAUUUAUUACAAAAAUCUUGUUGAAUAUCUCUUGGUAUCCACUAACUUUAAAAUGGUAUUCUUAUGUUGGGCUUUACAUUCAUUUUGACAAUACAUGCCUUGUUGUUUUUCUAGAUUAUGUUCACUGCUGGAGUACACACUUCAGCUCUGACCAUGGAGUGGGCUAUGUCCCUUAUGCUAAACCACCCCCAGGUAUUGAAGAAGGCAAGGAGUGAAAUAGACAACAACGUUACACAAUCAGGGCAAUUGAUUGAGGAUUCAGAUCUCUCCAAAUUGCCAUAUUUGCGUUGCAUAAUCAAAGAGACACUUAGACUUUUUCCUGCAGCACCAACUCUUUUGCCUCAUUAUUCAUCUGAAGAUUGCACCAUAGGAGGCUUCAAAGUUCCUAAAGGCACAACUUUGUUAGUAAAUGCUUGGGCUAUUCACAGAGAUCCGAAGGUUUGGGAAGAGCCAGCCAAGUUUAAGCCAGAAAGGUUUGAGGGAAUUAAUGAAGGGGCUUGCGAUGAAGGGUUCAAAUUUAUUCCAUUUGGAAAAGGUAGGAGGGCUUGUCCAGGGGCUGCCUUAGGCAUGAGAUUUAUUAGCCUGACGUUGGGAACAAUGCUACAAUGUUUUGAUUGGGAAAGAGUAGGGCCUCAAUUGGUGGAUUUAGAAGAAAAAUCUGGUAUGACUUUGGACAAGGCCAAGCCUUUGGAAGCAUUGUUCAGGCCACGCUCAUCCAUGAUUGAAUUGGUUUCUCAGCUUUGACUAAAGAACAUGACUGGUGGCUUUUGAAGAUUGUAUCAUAAUAAUAUCUGAAAUACUUAAAGCUCAAACUACAAAGGUGCACCUAUUGCAAAGUGUGAAAAAAAGUGAAAAUAAGAGGAAGGAGAAUAUAAGCAUGAAAAUCUUUCAGUCUAUGCAGUUAUUAAAGAUUAAAUAGGCUUUGAACUAAACCGUGUUUGGCUUUUUCUUUUUGCUUUUUAAUAUUGGUCUUUUAAAUUCACUGUAAGUGCAUCUACUGGAGGUCUUUGGUUUUCCACAUUUGUAAUUAUAGAAAAUCUUCAACCUUAACUGGGUUUCUUUGUUGGUACAUAAAGUGGUUAUGGGGUUUCAACAAAACAAGCAAAAAGAAUGUCGUUUGAGUAGAGAUGUCAAUCACAACCCAAUUAUAUUGAUUCGUCCAAAUCCGCCCACCAAUGAAUCGCUCAAACUCACCCACUAAUUUUGAAUGAAUUUAAAUGAGUACCCAAUUAAGUCCAUUUAAUUAAUGAAUGGUGAGUUGACUCGAUUCAUCCAUUUGUAUCCAUUUAAAAAUAAUUAGACAUUUAAACUCAACUUUUAAUUAGUGUUAAGCAAAUAAAUUUGAAUUUCUUAUCAAUUUAAUAAUAAUAAAUACCGUUAUUUCUUAUCAAAUAGCAUGCAAAAAAAAGUAGAAUUGUAAGUGACUCAUAAAUAGAUAAUUGGGUAUAUCUAUACUCAUUUAUUAAAUGGGCAUAAAUGAAUUGACUUAAUUAUACCCAUUACUUAAUUAUGACUGUCCAAACCCACCCAAAUCACUCAUUUUAGCACCUCUACUCAUGAGUAGCGAGGUUAUCGAGCUAACUCGAACCCAAUUAUGGGUAACUCGAGCUAGACAUCAAAGAAAAUUAGCUAAGCUCAAAAUCAAGUUUAAGUUCGACAGUGAAUUUCCUUUCUUUGUCAUAACUCAGUGCAUGACCAUCUUCAAUUUAUCCACCAAAACCGUUGCUAAGUUAGCUUAAGAACUCUUUUAUUGGUAUCAGUGUCUUUUAUUUCACAUUCACUCAAAACUUUUACAUGUUUAACUUCCUUUGGCAUACUUUUUUCUUUGUCAAAAUUUUGUUGGCGGUGUAUAAAGCUUUCAUGUUUUUCAUAUAUCUGUUUGAUGUAUUAGACAUGCAUAAUUUUGAUGUUGCAAGUAAAUUUAUGAAGAUACAACUCUUUUCGUGAGUUACAGGUGCACAUUCACCAUUUCGAAUCCCAGAUUAUUAGAUUUUUUUUUUGUUUUGCAUUUUUUUGAAUUUUCAAUUUAUUUGUGAACUUUUCAAAUUUUUGCAAAAAUUUGUUCUUUUAGAAUGAUGACAGGUAUUUUAGAAGAUGUCUGUAGCUAAUUAUAAGUUCAAUUUAUCCACAGUCUCGUGAACGUUGAAGGACCAAUACCUGUUAAGAUCGCAAAACUAAUUUUGGAGUCUCCAGAACACAUAAUUCUUAAAGAAUAGGGUUAAUUCCACUUUGUCUCCCCAAACUUUGGACGAUUACCCACUUUAGUCCUUAAACUUCAAAAUGGGACACUUAAGUUCCUAAACUUAUAAAUACCUCCCACUUAAGUCCCAAAACUUAUAAAAUGGGACACUUAAAUCCCUAAACCCUUAUAAAAUGGGACACUUCGACCACCAACGGCAUUCAGGAUUUGUUAACAAUUUUCCUUAAAUGGAAUGUAUUUAUAAGUUUAGGGACUUAAGUGUCCCAUUUUGAAAUUUAGGGACUGAAGUGGGUAAUCGUCCAAAGUUUGGGGGGACAAAGUGGUAUUAACCCGAAAGAAUAUUCAAGCCAUUUUUUUUUCAGGGUUCGUUGUCACACUCUAAUUUUUCAACUCUACAUCAGUUAAUCAAAUGACUUCAAUUUAUUAGUGCCACUGAUUUCAAGGUCAAAUUUGCUUAAAAUUUUCAGUUUUGCAAGUCCCUGGAAACUUUUAUCAUCUUCAUCUCAAGUAUCCCUGUAUUCUUGCUUUUAUUAUUCACCCAUGUAAUCUUGAUUCUAAAUGCACAUAUGCCUCAUUGCUAAAGUUUUUAUUCAAUGUUACUUGAUAAUAACUCAUAAGUAUGCCCUUAUGAAACAGCAACAAGGAAGAUCUUGAAUGCGCCUAUUCGCAACCCAGGAAUAAAUUAACCUAAGUACAUACCAGUAACAUGGAGAAUCAAAUCAUGGUUUCACAUAAAAUAUGAUGGACCAAACCUUUUUUCACAUAUCAAAAUAAAAAAAUAUAACUUGAAGCAACUUGACAUAAGUUACCCUGGAAUGAUAAUGCUAUAAGGGGAGGGUUGGGUUGGGUGGUACAGGGGGAGGGAGUGUAAGCAAGAGGUCUCGGGUUGAGUUCUACUGUUUACACUAAAAAAAAAACAAUAAUAUCUGCUACAUAAACUUCUCAAUUAUGUCUGUUUUUUUUUUUUUUUAACUUCUCAUUUAUGUCUAACUGCUUCUAAAAAAUGUCAGUGUCAAUAUAAUCAUUAAGAAGAAUAAUAUUGGACUGCAAAAGUGGACUUUAAGAGUAGGUUCAAGAAAAAAGGAGACUGUGCAAUUAAAUGGCAAACAUCACUUUGAUAACAAUACUUGUUUACUUAAGAAGAAUUGUAUAAAAGAAUAAACGCAAAGACUAAGAUUGCAAUUUUUUUUAAAUUUUUUUUUAAAUAUAAGAAUCACCUAUUAAGCUCUAUAAUUAAUAUUAAAUCUAAAAAGUCAAUUAUUUGGCCUUUAAAACUGCGUUCACAAACUUUUUAUCUCUUCAUAUUCAGAUUUUAUAUAAUGUUUUAGCAAAAUCAAUACGAACACAUGAGAAAACUAUCUCUAAAAGGCUAAGGCCGUAAAAUAAAGAGAAUGACCAAGGCAAACAAAGAGCAAUAAUGAGCAAAAUAUGACACGAAAUAUUUGUCUCUAAAAAAGGACAAGCUCAGUGCUAAGAAAGGUAUAAAAGUUUCCUAGAAAAAGAAGCUUAGAACCAUACAAUUUUAACUAACCUAUUUCACAUUUGAAGUUAGAAUAAUUAAAAAUUCAAUGGACCGAACUAUUGUCUUGAAAUAAUAUGAUGAGUUUUGCAAUUCUACGGUAGAUUCAUAAAAGUGCUUAAGAAACACGUGGGAUAACACUGUUGAGAAUGAUGUGUUCACUGAAUAACGAAAUAUGAUUUCAUCACAACUCCAAAUAUUAUCAUAGAAAUUUAUAAGUAAGAUAAUUAAGUAGUAUUAUCUUAAAGCUAAAGGGAGAAAUUUUGUUUCAAUGUCGACAAAUGCAACGUGCAUUUUCUUAGUCUAUUAUUAAAAACUUGUCCAAGGAUUCUUCCAUUUUUAUAAUAGGUGUUAUCUCAUUUUAUAUGCUAAAAUUACUAAAUUAAUUUUGAGAGGUCGUUAAGUCUAUUCUAUAUCUAAGGUACCCCUUCAGAUGAUAAACUAUUUAGGGGGAAAAAACUGUGAAUUUGAGCAUGCCUAAAAGAAUUAAGAAAUAAAUUUACAAUAAGGAAAGAUAGACUUAUUAUCAUUAGUGGUGACUGAAAGCAUUUUUUGUUUGAGUGAGAAUGGCCCCUAUUUUUUAUUAGAUAAAAAAUUUAAAGAAUUAAAGAUGCUCAUAAAAUAAGAUGAAACAAUAAGGGAAGGAAAUAAAUUAAUCCACUAAGGUUGUAGGCGAGGAACCUUAAAACUUCCUACAAAGAUAUUCUAGAAUAAGUCUGAAAAUAAUAGAAACAAAGUUGGUUUACAUUAAUAGCUUGAACAACACAAGAAAAUUAUUAAAAAAUUUUAGUAGUUUGCCAUAGAACACAAACCGCCUUAUGAAUUAUACUUGUUUGACAAUAUCAAAACUCUUUCCACAAAGCACUUAAACACCACAUACAUCAUCACACUUGAGCUCGAAUCCAGCUCAAAUCUCGGAUCGUUUACACCCAAUACUUGAGUGGUUGAGUGAUCUAGAAGUGGGCCGGAUUUUUGAAACUGAAAAAAAAAUAUUUUUAUAUUUGUAAUGAUUUGACAAUUUAGAUUGAAUCAUAUAAGUCCAGAUUUUGGAUGUAUUGGAUGGUACGGUGAAGCGAACGUAGAACAAGAUUUUAAAAGAAAAGGUCCUUAGUUAAACUGCAAAUUAACUCAUGUGAUUAGCUCGUGAUUGUCCACACGGAGGAUCGAAAGUGGUAAGAGAUGACACUAAAGUAUCAAAUUUAUGUUGUCCCGUACUAUUUGGAUUUCAUUGAGGUUUAUGGAGUAAUGUGAAAUCUCAGCGUACAAAAAGGGGCCGCAAUCAAGAAUAUUUUGACUGAUCAAGCGCUUGCAUUUUGUCUUCUUCCUAUUUUUUGUUUCUAAAAUGCCAUCCUAAGGUGCAUUACCAAAUAAAGGCCCACCUGGCAAAUAAGUUUUUUGGAUGUUUGUUUAAAAUUUUACUGUAAUUUACUGUCAAAGUUGUAGAAAAAAUUUUUGAAGUAUGUAAAUUUUUUGAUAUUUUGAUAUGUAUAGUUUAAAAGUUUUAAGAAAUUUUUUGAGAUUAAUAUAGUUAAAAUAAUUAAAAAACUUGUAACAAACAAAUUUGACAAAAAACUUGCUCGCCAAACAUGCCCAAAAUUUGCUUUGACCACUUUGCAGAUCAAAAUAGUCUUCAGAUUUGUAAACAUUAUUAGUUCAAAGAAUUACUCUAGAGUGCAAUUUAGAAAUCCAUUGUAAGCGAGAACAAGCCAUGUAACAAGAUGUCAAACAAACUAAGAAGAAUUUUUUUCAACAAAAGUCCUUUAUUCAAUCUUUAAAAUAUCCUUUUCAUUUGUUCCAGUUGAAAAGAAUUACUCCACGAUCAAUUUUUUACAAAAGUCCUGUUGAAUAUCUGUUGGCGCAUACUAAAUUUAAAAUUGUAUUGUUAUGUUAGGCUUUACUUUCAUUUUGACAAUAAAUGCCUUGUUGUUUUGCCUGAUUAUACUGCAGGAUUACACACUUCAGCUCUGACCAUGGAGUGGUUUAUGUCCCUUAUGCUAAGCCACCUUGAGGUAUUGGAGAAGGCAAGAAAUGAAAUAGACAACAAUGCCACACAAUCAGGGCAACUGAUUGAGGAUUCAGAUCUCUCCAAAUUGCGUGUUUAUGUUGAAUAAUUAAAGAAACAGUCGGACUUUUUCCGGCAGCACCAACGCUUGUGCCUCAUUAUUCAUUUGGGGAUUGCAGUAUAGGAGGCUUUAAAAUUCCUAAAAGGCAAACUUCGUUAGUAAAUACUUGGGUUAUUCAUAAAGACCCUAAUGUCUGGGAAGAACCAAUCAAGUUUAAGCCAGAAAGCCAGAAAUUCGAGGGAUGUGAAGAAGGGUUCAAAUUUCUUCCAUUUGGAAAAGGUAGGAGGGCUUGUCCAGGGACAGCCUUGAGCAGGAGAUUGAUUAACCGGUCAUUAGGAACAAUGCUACAAAGUUUUGAUUGGGAAAGACUGGGUCCUCGGUUGUUUGGAUUUGGAAGAAAAAUCUGGUUUUGACUUUGGGCAAGGGCAAGUCUUUGGAAGCAUUGCGCACAAGCCAGCUCAUCCAUGAUUGAUAAUCAUUUCGCAGCUCCGAGUUAGCUUCCCAAGGUAACUAAAGAAACAUUUAUUUAGUUGUUUAUGAAGAUUGAAUCACGAUAAGAUCGAAAAUCGAUGCGCCCAACGCUUCACGAAAAAAAAAAAAAAAAAGAUGCGCUCAAACGAAAAAGGGGCACCCAAUGCUAAGCGUGUGCAACAGUAAAAAUGAGAGCAAAGAAAUAUAAGCAUGAAUAGUUUUCAGUCCACGCACUUAUGGAUUAAAUAAAAACAUUAUAGAUAAAUAGGCUUUGAAUAAAACUAUAUCUGGUUUUCUUUCAUUCUUUUUUAUUUUUUCGGCCUUCUGAAAUUACUGCAAAUAUCAUCUAUUAGUUCUUUGGUUUCCAAAUUUGUGAUAUAGAACUCCCAUAGUUCAAUAACCUUAAAUGAUUUUCUGUUGGUAGUCAUAAACUGGUUUUGGGGCGUUUUACAACACAAGCAACUGAAAAUACAUACCGCAUGUGUAGGAUGCUAUCAAGUUGAGUCAAACCCAUAUGCACAAGGUUCUUGAGUUCGAGUUCAAAAAAAAAUUAGUUAAACUUGAAUUCGAACUCAAGUUCAACAAAUAUCAUAUAUUAGUGCUCAAUCUUGAUUAAAGAAAAAUAUGAGGAGCUCAAUUAGCUUGUUUAAGCAAAUUGAGCUCGGCAAAAUAAAAUUGUAAUUUGUCCUAAAAAAACUAUUAUGUAGAUAAUUUUACAUUUAUAUUAAAAACAUGUACACGGACACACAGAUUCACACAUAUAUAUUCAACAAGCUUGAUGAAAUUUUGAGUAGUAUUAUGUGGAGAUCUUGAUGUGUUAAGUUCAUGAGUAAAGAAUUGUAUCCCACAUUGAUUUCAACGAAAGAGAAAGAGUCCUUAAUAUGUUAGUAAGGGUUUAGAAUCUAAUAGUUUAAGUUUUUGGGUUAGCGUUCGAUUUCUGACUUAUAUUAUUGGGUAUCUUUGGUGAGCUCUCACGAGUGUUUCUCCCUAAUAAGUUGUAUCAGAGUUUCUAGUUACGGAACUAGACUACUUAUAGGCAAGUCGACUCUUCUUGAAUUUGGACCAGUGAAAUUCUCAUCUUGGUGGUGGAUCAAAGUACCAAGGAAUUUGGUUGAUGUUAGACCAGAUGCACUAGGAGUUUGGUAGGGGAUCUAGUUGGUGUUAGAUCAAGGAGUUAAGGGUUGGUAGGGUCUAAGAUCCGAUUUGGAUGUUGAAGAAGAGUCGGUCCAUGAGUUGAGAAGAGGUGACCUUGAGUGUUAAGGUGCAAGGUGCACUAAGAGUUUGGUAGGGGAUCCAGUUGUUGUUAGGCCAAGAUGCUAAGGGUUGGUAGAGUUCGAUAUUCGAUUUGGAUGUCAAAGAAGUGUAGGUCCAUGAGUUGAGAAGAGGUGACCUUGAGUGUUAAGGUGAGUUUUUAUUAAGUAUUAAAGUGAACUCAGUUGAACUUCUAAACUUGGAUUCAAUAUAAGUGCCACGGGAUUUGAUUGAUGCUGGACCAAGUGCGUCAAGAGUUUGGAAGGGAGUUCAGUUGGUAUUAGACUAAGGAGGUAAGGGUUGGCAGGGGGUUCAAGAUCCAGUUUGGAUGUUAAAAAAGAAUGGGUCCAAGAGUUGAAAAGAUGUGAUUUUGAAUGUUCAGAUGAGUUUGCACUGAGUAUUAAAGUUUCGAAAAAGAACUUGUAAACUUGUAUUUAAUGUGAAUGCCAAGGGAUUUGGGUUGUGUUGGACUAGGUGCACUAGGUGUUCCGUAAGGGGUUUAGCUAGUGUUAAACCAAGGAGCUAAAGAUUGAUUGGGGUUCGAGAUCUAGUUUGGAUGUUGAAGAAGAAUGAGUCCACGAGUUGAAAAGAGGUGACGUUGAAUGUUAACGUGAGCUUAUAUUGUGUAUUAAAGUGGAAUCAAAAUAGAUCUUGUAAACAUGGAUUCAAUGUGAGUAUCAAGGAAUUUGGUUGGUGUUGGACCAAGUUUAGGGGGGGUCCGAGAUCCAGUUUGAAUGUUGAAAAAGAGUAGGUCCAUGUGUUGAGAAGAGGUCACCUUGAUUGUUAAGGUGAGUGUACAUUGAGUACUAAAAUGGGUCAAAGAAGAGUUUGUAAAUUUGGGUUCAAUGUAAGGAGCUACUCAUUAAGGAAAAAAUUAUUAGGUUCACGAGUAAAGAAUUUUGUUUGACAUUGGUUUGAAAGAUGGAGAAAGAGUUCUUAAUAUAACUUUAUGAGUAAAGAAUUGUGUCUAAUAUUGGUUGAAAGAUAGAAAAAAAGUCCUUAAUAUAUAAGUAAGGACCCAAAAUCUAGUAGAUUAAACUUUUAGGUUAACGUUAGAUUCCUAACUUGUAUAUUAGGUCUCUUUGAUGAGGUCUCACAACAAACUUUCAAGUAGUAUUAUGUGGAGAUCAAACUCGAUUUAUCGAUGAACUUGAACUACUUGAAUUCGACUUGACUUUUGAAUUUCACUGAACAUGUUUGAGCCGUUGACUGAGCUGCCUGAUCUAUUGCCUGCUUUUUUUAAAAAAAAAAUCCUAACAAAAAGUCAAGACCUCUAAUUUUUGGACCCUCAAUUUUAACCACUACACUAAACCAAGGCAUCCUUGACCUUUUUUUCUAAUUAUUUUCCUAUCAAAGGAAGGGUAGAAUUUAAGAAACGAGAAAGAAGCAGGUGACUAGAAUUUAGAACCUCUAACUCUUGGGGCCUCAACCCACUUGGCAUUCCAUAAGCUCUCCAUCAAAUACGGCCCCUUGAUUUCCCUUUAUUUUGGGACCCGCCGCAUCCUUGUCGUGUCAUCUCCAUCACUUGCAAAGCAAUGCUUCACCAAGAAUAAUGAUAUUGCCUUUUGCAAACCGGCCUGAUUCCAUUUCCGCUCAGCACCUUGGCUAUAACUACACUAGCCUUGCGUUUUCUCCAUAUGGAGAUCACUGGCGUAAUCUCCGCCGUCUAACGGCCAUCCAUAUAUUUUCUUCACUUACUGUCCAACAAUAUUCAUCAAUCUGGAGAGAUGAACUACGUUUUGUUGUCAAAAAACUGUUCUCAAGUAGCUCUGAUGAGAAAACAUGGAAAGUUGCAGACCUGAACUCUUUGUUCUUGGAAUUGCUUUUCAAUGUGGUAAUGAAAAUGGUUGCAGGAAAAAAAUGGCCAUCCGAACAAUGAGGGGAUAUAUUUACACCAAGAUCGUUCUUGGAAAUUUGUGUGUGUUCCAAUUUUAAGGUGGAUCGGUUUUGGAUGGCUGGAGAAGAGUAUGAUUUACUUGCACAGGAAAAGAGACAAAGUUCCCUAGGGUCUGAUUGAUAAAAUUCGAAAAAAGGAAGGUAAAGAUGUUGCAUGUUCAACCAAGAGAAAAGAUAUCAUUCAAGCAUUGAUGUCUCUGCAAGAAGCUGAUCCUGAAUACUACACCGAUGAAUGAAUGUAAGCCCCUUUUCAUUUCAAAAAUUUCAAUUAGAAUUACCCUCAGUUAUGUUUUUUAAGCAAGAUGAUUCACGGCGUGAUAAAUCUUGUGCCUUGUAACCACAUCCAAGGUCAUAUAUCACUUUCCAGCCUGUACUGUCUGUCAUUGCAGUUGCAGGUUCAACCGCAGACAGCAAUUUGUGGUUUCAAUCAGUAGCUAAUGUGGCCGGACAUAGGCUGCUGAUCCCAAAUGUUCUUUUAUUUCAUUUGCUAAAUUUGAUAAUCAAGCAAACAUUUUGAUGAGGCCGGUGAUUAACUUUCACAGUUGCACCUAGUAAGGAUCACAUUCACUGUGUUGAAAUUUGGGGGCAUGACGUUAAAAUCAUUGAGUUUUACAAAAUUUCAUCUGCAUUAACGGACAAAUCCUCGUUGUUAAGUGUUGCUAAUGGUCAGUAGCUCAGCUUUGAACAACUAUGUUUCCUAUAUACCAUUUUAUAAUUCAUGAUUUCUGUUUCUGCAUGUCUCAAAUUAUUUUUUGGUGGCUCAAAAGGGAAACAGAAAAAUACUAAUAUCCUUGUUUUUACCCUUAUAAAAUUUUUAACAAAGAACAUUAAAUCAUGUUUCCACAAUAAAUACUCCAAUAAACCACUUCAGACUUUAACACUCCAAAUAUAACUACAAAAUCUUUUAGAUACAAAUCGAGGGACAAUCAGGAAAAAAAGUAAAUUGCAACUCGUCAAACAUCAAUUUCUUGAACUGUGAGUAUAACUAAUGAAAAGGAAAGGAAAAAUUAUCCGUAACCUUGGUCGCGUAAAAAGAGUCAAGACUUCAACUGCUGAGGUUCCAGAUUGAUAUGACUUGAUGAAAGAUCUCAAAAACUAGGCAGAUGAAAGCGUCCAGAAAUGAGCUUCUGAAUUCUUAGUUCCAGAUUGAUGUGUGCUGAUGAAAAGGGUAAAAAGAGUCAAGACUUCAACUGCUGAGGCUCCAGAUUGAUAUGACUUGAUGAAAGAUCUCAAAAACUAGGCAGUUGAAAGCGUCCAGAAAAGAGCUUCUGAAUUCUUAGUUCCAGAUUGAUAUGUGCUGAUGAAAGCUCUCAAAAUCUGGGCAGUUGAAUUGAAAGUGUCUAGAAAAGAGCUUUGACGCAUAAGGAGUCGAUUAAUUUGGUGCACUAAAGAAUUUUUUUUUAAGUGGUGACAUGUAUAAGCAUCUAUAUUAUAGUUUAACUGAUAAAAUGGAUAGAUUUUUUUUCUUUUUUUUUACGCAAAAAAUAUCGUAAAGAUCUUAAUCAUAGUUUUCACAAGAGGAGACCAUCAAAUACAUCAGAGGAAUUAAAAACAUGGAUACUUGAGAGAAAUUUCCAAAAUUAUGAUGAUUUUUAAAAAAUUUCUGCAAAAGGGACACUUUGAGUAUGCAAUUCCAUCAAAGGGGUCUUCGCAAUCAGCAAAUACGAGCUCCAUGAGCUCGCAUUUGCUGAAUGCAAAGUCACUCUGAAUUUUUAGACCCACAAAGUCCAAAAAAAAAAAAAAAGAAAACCAGACCUAGCAUUCAAAAAAUGCGAGGUCUGGCACCUCGCAACAAAUUGAAAGCUUUGGUAUUUGCUAAAACGAACUCGUGUUAAGAAGUAGAACCGCUAAAAUUUUAUUGGCAUUGACCUCUCAGUUUGUUUUCUCCUCAUUUGCUGUGUUUUAUGAUCUUUGUGGGAAUUCUUUGCCAACAUUAGUAGUUCCUCUAGAGAACGUCCUUUUGAAACCAGUUAGGAGAUUCUAAAAAUUGACCAUUACUACAAUUGGUGCAAGCCAUUUUGCUAAACGUGAGCUCUAAAAUUUUUUUUUUUUUUGUUAGAGGUAUCAUGAUAUGAAAAAUAUUUGUUCUGUAAGAGAAAAUAAAUAUUUUUUUAAAUAUUUAUUGUAACUAUGAUCAUUUUGCUCUUUUUGACCACUUUGCAUAUUGUCAUUUACUAAAUGCGAGCUCCUAAAAAAAUUAAAUUUAAAUAAUAUUUGUUUUCUUCUAGCGAGCUUCUACAAAAUUAAAUUUAAAAAAGAUUUGUUUUCUUAACAGUACUAAACGCGAGCUCCUAGCGAAUUAAAUUUAAAAAAUAUUUGUUUUGCAGAUCUCUCAUUUACUAAAUGCAAUCUUUAGUAAAAUCUUAUAUUUUUUUUAAAAUAAUUUUUUAUGCAUUCAUUGAGUGUGAGGAGUAAAUAUUUUGGAUUUCGCAUUCGAUAAAUGCGAAUUCAUAGAAAAUUACUUAAAAAAAUUGGGGUACCAGAUAAAUGCAAAUUCGAUAAAUGCGAAUUCGAUAAAUGAUCUAGGAUGUAUUUUGAGUAAUUGGGGGUACCAAAUGUGAUUUUCAAAAGUUAACAUUUCUGCAAAAAUUUGCAUAAGAAAAUGCAGUUCUAGUCGCGUAUUACAGAAAGUGCGUUUUCAAUUCUAGAAGCUUAAGGCAUAAAACGCGACUUGAAGGCGCAUAUUCAUAAUGGCGCGUUUUCAAUUCUGCAAAUACAACAGAAUACGCGACUUGAAGUCGUGUAUUGAAUUCUCCAAGGAAUAAGUUGCGUAUUCUUGAAGUCACGUUUUGAAUUCUCCAAGGAACAUGAAGAAAACGCGACUUAGCAAAAUGUGACUUGAAUGCGCGUUUUGUGAAGUCACGUAUUGUCUCACUUGUACGAAGCUUUAAAACACGAAUUCCCUCUCAGUUUUCUUUUCUCCUUCUUCCAGUCGCGUUUUCUUUCCACUCUUCACACACAAUUCACCAAAUUCUAUUUUUGCUCCAUAUCUUGGUUAAAAAUCAUCAAGCCAACAACUUUUGAGCAUUAUAUAGCCUUUCUAACCUAUUAAAAUCCAAUAAAAACACCUCAUAAUUGGUUUUAAGGAGAUUGAAAGCUAGGGUUUCUAGUUUUUAAUUUCUUCAAUUAGAGGUCAAUUAGAGGGCGUUUCAUAGGGUUUUUUGCACAGUCAUCAUCUCCAAACAUCCUUCUGCAUAAUUGAGGUAAGUUUCUUCAUCAAAUUUACGUAUUUUAGAAAUUGAUAUUUUUCAAUUUUCUGAGCUUUUUGACAUGUUUUAAUUUCGAAAGUUUGAUGAUGUUUAUAGAUGUUUUUGGCCUCUAUUAUGCUUGUUGAUGGUAAUUAAGUAUGUUUACAAGUUCAAAUGUAGCAAAUUGAUGAUUAAUAGUUCUUUAAAUUUUUAAGUUGCUAUAUUUGGCUAAAAUUCGAAAGUUGGCUUGGAAUGUUGUUGAGCAAUUGGUGAUCAAUGAUUAUGGUAUAAAAUGGUUAGUUGAUGAUGUUUUAACAUGUGCAUUGUGUAUAGAGAGUGAUUUGAUGAAUUUUGUGAGUUAUUAGAAUACAUCUUGCUUAACCAUGUUUAUAGCUAAAUGUCCAUUAUUGUUGCUAAAAUUUGGCUGCUAUUAUCUUGAUUAGUGCCAAUUUCACUUAUUUGGAUAUAUUUGUGGCCUAUUUUGAUAUAUUGAUGAUUUUAGUAAUUUUUGACAUUUUGACUAUGUCAUUUCUCUUAUGUCAUAAUAAUGAUUGUUUAACUAUAUUUAUUUGAUUUCUUAUGACAUGGAGGGAUGUAUUUGUGGUAAUUUGAAUCAAUUCAUGUUAUUUAUUGUCAAAAAUAUGAAAUAUGUCUUAGUACAUGUGAAUAAUUGAAUCCUUCUUAUUAGGUACUAUGGCUAGGGGAAAACAGGUUGUAUAUUCAUCCUCUAGUAGUGAUGAUAUGGAGGUUAGUGAGAAGGUCGAAGUAAGUGAGGAGGAGAGGUCACCUUCUCCUUAACUGGUUAAAGGACGACUAGGUGAGGGUACUUCUCGUGGUGCCGAAGCGUCCGUCUUUGACAGUGCUAGGUUUUCUACCCUGAGGAAUCAAGAGUGGCAUGAGGCGCACACUAAUUUGGAGUUUCUUUUUGAGAUGCACGUGAGUCCAGAAGUUAAAAUGGUUGGGUGUCAAUCAACUUGGUUGGGUGUCAAUUCUCACCUUGCCGAUUCACUACUACACUGACUUGGUGCGCGAGUUCUACGGCAACAUUGAUUAUAAAGCGUGCCACAGUGGUGAGAUGGUGGAGUCAUGGGUGCGUGGGAGACGUAUUGUUUUGUCGAGGGAGCGCCUAGCUGCCAUUUUGGAUUGUAACAACCAGGAUCGAGCUAUCGACUUGAAGAAGGGAUUCGUCGCACCAAAUAGGCAGUGGGAUCCAUCACAUGCCAUGACUAGGUUUGGUCUUGAUUACCAACCUUUUCGGUCCUCGAGGAAGGAGACAAUGUUGGCGAGUGUUUUCGAACCUCGCCAUCAUCUCAUUAUCUAUAUGAUGGCCCACAAUGUCAUACCCAAGAAGACGGGACAUACGGAGGUCCGCAAAAGUGACAUCUACUUUCUUGACUACAUGUUUCAUAAUCGGCGGAACUCCUCCUAUGCUUUUGCCGAACAUCAUUAUUAGCCACAUAAGGUCUACGGUGAGGCGGAGAGCGACGUCAUUCAAAUUGGCAUUUCCUCGUCUGCUUUCCUUGGUGUUCGAGAAUUUUGAGGUUAAUUUGCAAGGUAUACAGCAGGAAUUUGUUACACCUAAAACCGAAUUAUAGGUUUCUACCCUUUGUCUUCUCGGUAUUGGCACGGAGAACAUUCCUCGACCUAUUCGAGAAAGGGGACAAAAGGUAAGACAUGGCCAAGAGGAAGCCGGACCUUCUACUACGGCAUCUCCUCCUCCACUGCCAUAAUCGAAUUGGCAGUGACUGUUCACUCGCUUGGACGAUAUCGAGUAUUGAUUGGGACGGAUGGACACUCGCCUGGAGCGGAUCAAGUAUCAUUUGGGCAUUCCUCCACCUCAUGAUGGUGAUGAAGAUGAAGAUGGCGACUGAAGUUGCACCUUUAGGAUGGCUAUUUUGUUGCUUCAAGAUUUGCUUGUCAUUUUGUUUUUAAUCUGUUGGAUGUAGGGUGUUUAACUUGACCUUUUCUGUUUUCAAGUUUUCUGUUGGAAUAUGAAUUGUAUUCAAAUGUUGUUAAUCUUGAGUCUGCUGGCAGGGAGUUUAGUCCAAUUUUAAGCGGAAAUUCUAUCAAAAUUUUUUCAAAAUCUUGUCCAAAAUUAUAAAAUUGCCGCAAAAGGUUUCAAAUUUUUUCGAUUUUAUCCAAAGGGCAACAAGUUCCCUACAAGUAGUUACUCAUAUUCUUUCUACUUUUGAGAUAAAUAUAUAUGACUUUAAAACUUCUCCAUCUAUACCCUAACUGUAAUAGAGAGUCGCUAAUAUCGCACUAAAAUCAAUUGUGCAAAUGAUUACAAAUGAGUUCUGAAGAAAAUUUUAUCUACUACUAAUCCUUUGUAUAUAAAUAACAAAAAGUUAUAUUUCUUCUAUAUUAAAAGAUUUGAUAAUUAUACGGUUGGAAACACCUAAUUUUAUUAUUAAAUAAUUUUGUAAAGAAAUAACUAUACAUGUAUAAUUCUUUAUUUUCACAGGUCAAUAUAAAAUACAAUAAAAGUGUUAAUAUGUUAAGUCUUAACUUUUGAUGAAUAAAAUUCUCUUUUUUUAUACUUCUCAUACGAGAGCAUCAAAAUUUUUUGUCAUAUGUUUAAUAGAAGAAAUUUUUUCUCAUAAGAGAGCAUCAAAAUUGUUCGUGGGAAAAGAGAAUUUCUUUGUAAUUUUAUGAAAGUUUCUAGUUUUGUAAAAAAGGAUCGAUAAGAUAUACGUGAUCAAGUUUUUCUGCUAAUAUUUGGGAAAGUAAAAAAUAUAAACAGGAAAUGACACAAUAAAGUAUUUCAGCCAUAAUUAGUUAGUUUAUACAAUAGCUACACAAUCAGGGUAUCAUCAAUGAUGUCCAAAUUUUUCAUGAGUACCAUAUCCUCUGGGUUUGCGUACUCUUUGUGUUUGACGUGGUUGGUCUUGCAUUACUGUAUCGACUUGAGUAAUCUGUGACUCAAGUAUAGCAUCAUGAUGUUGGGUACUCUGACCUUCAUCUAUACCUCCUGCAUGUUGUGCAGAAGUGUCAUGAUGUAAGUCUUUAUAGGGCGUAAACUGUUAAAAAGUCACUGGGGACCUAGAAUCGCCAAUGGAUGCACUGUGCAGUUGCAUGACUUCAGUCUGAGAUGUGACUAAAGAAGAUGCGUCAACAUGGUGCUCAGUAACCUGUGACCCUCCAUCGAAUCCAAUUUGGAUGGUGGGUUCUGGUGAUCAGAGUCUACGACGUCAUCUACCGCCAUACUGACCUCCGUGAUUAUUCGUAGGAGCUCGUUGAACACGACUUGCAUCUACGUGUUGUGGAAUGCAAGUCGGGAUGACUCUCCUACAUGAUGCAAUGUUAUUGAUACAAAGUACUUCAUUGCAUUAAAAUAAUUCAUGUGCUAUUCGUCACUAUGUGCUAGAGAGUCCUCAGUCAUAUAAUAUACCUGAGACAUAGCAUUCAUCUAGAGUGCAAAUAUUGGAAUGAAUAAGUAUUAAUAACGUUAAACCUUAAAAAAUUCACUACUACAAAAAUAUCCUUUUAUGACAUUUGAAAGCGUCAUUAUAGCUCCAUGUUAUGACGUUUUAACUAUAAUGACGCUCUGUCAGAAGCGUCAUCCAUUCUAACGUCACUAUAAGUUUUAUAACAGUUUCUAUGCGUCCUAAUUUGUAGUUCUUCUGGCACUUAUAAAUGUCAUUAGUUAUCGCUAUUAUGACACUUUGAAAUGACAAGAAAUGCCAAGGCACAAUUGAUGUUAUAUAAACUUAAGUGAUGCACAUAACUGUCAUAUUUUGAAACUAUCUUGACACUUCUGUCAUGUAAGUACAAUAAGAUAUUAUAACACACUCACAUAAGUAGAAUGAAAUAUUAUGAUACUUUUUGGUAUAACUAGAUUAGGUGAUUAUGACACUUUUUAACAUGAAAUUUUGUGAAUAUUAUGUACAAUAAAAGUCGAAGUGAUGACACUUUUAAGUGUUAGUACAGUAUGUUGCAUUACUCCUAUAUACCAUCCGUGUUUUAUACCCAUAAGCAGAAAUCACAUUUCAUCCUGCUUGCAUAUUGUAAAUCCUAAUUUUUGGAAUAAUAAAGUAGUUAGUACCAUCAUAUAAAGGAAAACCAAAGUUAUUUACAUCUUCGUAGUAACUGGUGCAAUACAAUAAUCCAAAUUGGUGCAAAAAUAUAUUAUCUAAGCAACUCACCUUAAAACUAUGUCAACAAAUUACAUGCUAAUUCAGAGAUUUCCCACUAGUGAUGAGUAUUGCAGUAGCAUUGUCAAUAUAUAUAAAGGAAGCAGUAGCUUGACAGGAACUCGACUAAAAAGCAUUAACAAUGUCUUCAAAGAAAUAGCCAUUUGAUCCAAGGAUCAUUUAGUUUUCUUCAAGAUUCACCUACAUAUAUCAUAAACCAAGCAAUUGGAGUUACCAAUCACACAGCUCUUCUUUUACAGUUUUAAUCUUAGAAAACAAAUAAAAACUAAGUUAGAGUAAAGAUUACCAAGUUUAUUGGCCAAGUAAUGGCCACUCCAAUUACAUCUCCAGUCUUGCGAAAAUUAUGGUAUGGCCUCAUCAGCUUUUCAUCACUCUCCACAAACACAUUCACAUAGAUUUUACACCAAUGCAAUCCCAAAGACAUGUCACCAAGACAAAUCAUAGUUUCUGUGAAUGCAUAUUCAUGACAAAUAUUUAGGUAGGCUCAUGAUUAAAAGAGAACCAAAUAUUAGAUUAGGUAUGUCAUUAAAGGUAACUUUUCUAGUAGUAAGCAAUGUUAGAUUGACCCUUAAGUCACAAGGAUAACUAUGCACAUAAGCUAAUAACUUAGAAGAGCAAACACAAGUCAUAAGGAUUUAUGUAAAGUUUUAUUAAAGAAUUCAGUAAUACAAAUUUAGACAUUUAGCGAUGAUAAACAAUUCCAAAAUUAGAGCUACAAGUAUAUAUUGAACACAAGUACAUGGUUUUGGUCAAUCAUGUUAAUCAGAAUAAUGAUUUUCAUCUAUAUCUUGUUGUAAGAUUUCAAUUUAUGAAGUUAAAUGUGCACUAGUGUGUAGUGAACAUAUAUUUCUUACAUUGGACUUACAUAACAUUUAAUAGAAAUUGGAAAAAAAGAAAGACUAAUAGUAAUUGAAACAAGGACAAAACAAGAGGGGAAAAGCUAGACAAAUAUUAGAACCAAGAGUUUUGCCAUUUCCUGUCAGUAGUAUUCUGGUGACCCUAUUGAACAACGUUGCUAGACAAAGACCCAGUGAAAACUAAAGUCAUUAGAAAUUAAACUAACCACUGGAAUUUAUAAAAGGUGUACACUUCAUCACUGUCUUUGUACCUUGUGCAACGAGAAAUUGGGAACAAGAAUAGAACAAAUUUCAUAGUAUAAUGCACUUUGUCCCAACCAUCUAAAAUGUCUUUGUCACCUAUUAAUUUUGUCAAAUUAAACUUAUGAGAUAUUUUAGUUAUACAAACACAUCCAUAAGUAGGUCUAAUAGCACCAAUGAAAUUAGAACAACGCUAACAUAAAUGUAAGAUUAGCCUUGCUUAUGUCAUUCUCCAAUUUAACAUAAAUGUAACAUGAGCCCCGAAAGCAUCAGCUUGGCACCAAAUAGUAAAAGCUUCCUUAUGCUUUUCUAUAAGCAACAUUUUUUUUUCCUCAUUCUUGUAACUGUAAUAUCCAAAUCUUUGAUCAGUAUCUGAAUAAAAACAGACAAAGUGAUUUCCUAAGUGAAGUGAGACUGUGAGAGUGUCCAAACUUUUUAAAAGGCAAGAAACAACUUUACAUAUUGUCUUCACUCAAUAUAUAUCAUGCAUAAAUACUUAAUGAACAAACAAUAAUAUCACAUGACAAGAGUUGCCAAGCUACUGCUUCAUUAGGCAAUGGUCUGAGACAAAAGUAGCUAAAUACCUCAAACAGAAAAUGCAUGUUCAAACUAAAGAUCCGAAGAGAAAACAUAAAGACACAUUCAACCAUGUUGCAGUAUUUCAGUUCUCUAUUCAACUCAAGAUUAGUUUAUAAAAUUAAUUUCAAGAAAAGAAGGCAGAGCCUUGGCAAAAAACUAAAGGGCAUGCUGCUUGGAAGAAUUGAGUAAACUAGAGAGCAAAUCCAUUUGGCCAGCAAUGAAAUACUUGUUUAGUCAAUUUAUCAAACAUGUGGUGGGUCAUGGAUGCUACCAAACUGAUGCUAAAGAAGGCUAUAACAUUUACUCGGAAUCUUUUGACGGCAUCCAAUCAUCAAGAAACUUUGAUACAACCAUCAAGAAACUUUUAUUGUCUGCUAAAAAACAAAAAGAAAAAAUUUCAAACAUGAGAAUGAAUCAAAACAAUGACACAUCCAAUCAACUGACAUUUUGAAGGCAUACUCAAAUAGCUAAGUAGAAGACAACCCUAAAUUGUUGAUGCCAUCUACCUUUUUGCUUAUUUUAGACAAAAUUGGAGAUGUAUAUGUAGACCUAAAGUUAAAAUUAUCUCUUAAAUACAAGAAAUCAAAAAGAAAACAAUCUUGAUGUUAACAAAAAAUUGAAUAAUUGAUAUUCAAUAAACUAAACAAACAUCUUAAUUAUCGUACCUCCAUCAGUGGGAUGAAUCCUAGUUGCUUUCUCCUUGAAAAAUUAGCUGAUUGGCAAGAAAAUUGGCUAAAUUUGCCCUAAAUUGAGAGAAACAAAAGAGGGAGGGACAGGUCACAGUACAGAGAGAGAGAAAAUGCAGCGGGUGAGGAGAGAAGUGAUUAGAUAUGGUAAAUAAGAAAAGGGAGAAAAUAUUAGAAUUUUGGGUGAAAAUAAUUAUACGCUAAGGCAUAGCACCAAUUUUCAAAAUUAAGGGUGAUACGAUAUAGUUUUGUCUACUUUUGGCACCUUUUUAAUGACACUCCUUACUGACUGUCAUGUUAACACCCUAUUAUGACGUUUAGGAAAAUAUGUCAUAAUACAAGUGUCAUUAAAAGCUAUUUUUCUAGUAGUGAUUAUUUAAAUAAAUUUUUAUAAACGGGUAGUGGUUAGGCAAAAACUUACAAGAUAUUGUGCUCUAGCGCUAUCACCCUAAAACCCCUCCGGAAAAGCGGGAUACCUACUUGGAUUUGAAAUAUAAAGCAUUGUCUGCUCUCGAUACCAAUGACGAUACUCAUCUGAUGGAUAUGUAGGAUCUUCAACUACAGCACCGUCUUGUACAUGCACACGCCGAUCAGUCCACACAUCAAUACAUGCUCUAUGCGUAGUUAUCCAGUCUUAAUUCCCUCUUACCAUGAUGAUCUAGAGAAUGUAGGGCUACUUGAUUUUCAGUCAACUUAAGAGCAGGCAGGGACUGAUAAUAUCCAAAUUGUUGUAUAACUGGAUGCGGAAGAUGCGACUCGACAACUUUUUAACAUAUAAGAUAUUGUCACCUCCAAAUGUCAUGACCUGUAGUACAAUAUGCAGGCAAAGAAGUGAGAACAUCCUCCAAAUAUGGCUACCAUAUGAACUGCAAAAAAAAUAAAUGAAUAUGCACAAACCACUAAGUUAAAUUGGUCUCCACAAACAAUUUACUAUAUGCACCAUUGAAUAUUGUCAAAUGAGAAAAGCAUAACAAAUUUAAGCAAAUUUCUGUCAUUUUACAUAUUUUUUAAGAAAAUUUUGACAGCAUCUCCCCCAUAACUGGAAGAAAACUCCCUGCCAACAAAUCCAAUUUUAAAAUAAUCAAAUACAAUCUGCAUCUAUUCAUCUAACAGUUACAUAUUUUAUUAACGUAUUCAAAAAAGGUAAAGUAUUAGAUGUUCAACGUCAUUGCACAAUUACAAUACCUCUUGAGGAUGUAGACCUAUCAACUGAUCUCAAAAUAUUGACACGACAUGUCUUACAACUUUGUAUAGAUAAAACCCAACAUUCCACCUAAAUAGAAUAAAUGAAGAGUUUUUUCAAAACAAAUGAUUGUUAUUUAAAUUACAAAUUAUGGUCACAACUACAAUUGAUGUAUACGCACCGAACUCCAUAUGGACCAGGAUAGUGCUCUAACAGUUGCACUCGAUCAGGACGCAUUGUAGGUAUACGUUCCCAUACCCAUAUCAGUAAUAAAAAUUGGAAUCAUUUCAUAAUUGUAAUAAAAUAAUAAGUAAAUAACCUUACUUUUAUUGAGUGUAAUGUACCUGUAGCAAAACUAAUGGUCCUGCAAUAGUCGAUCUAGAGGGUGAUGUGGCUAUACACAGGAAUCGAUAGAGAGUCACUAAUAUCGUACUACCCCAAUUAUACUGCCCAAUAGUUUUCAAGUCUCGUAGUAAGGGAAGAUAUAUUAACGGGACUUUAUUGUCGAAUUUAUUGGACAAUAAAUUACCACCUAAUAAUAGGAGGAGGUAUAUGCGUGCUCGCUGUCUACAUUCGACAUCCAAAGCAUCGGUUGGCAACUUUGUAUCUAAUGCUCUGGAUAAACACCAUAAUUUUAACCUUUGUCCAUCAAAAUCCGACGGGGACGAAGAAAAACUAAUAAGCUCCUCACAUAUGAGUCCCCAUUCCUGAACACUAUGAGAUUUAUCUAUUCCAGUGAUCGGAGGACUAUUGAUCGGUAAUCCCCAUAGAACCUCUACAUCUUGUAAGGCAACUGUAACUUCUCCAAUGGGUAGAUGAAAGGUAUGAAUCUCGGGCCGCCAUUGCUCCACUAAACUAGUGAUCAGAGCAUGAUCAAUCAUCAUAUAUCCACUCUCGAGCACCCCUUCAAACCCAGUCAAAUGAAAAUAAUGCCAAACAGUUUCGGGAAUAGGUGUAUGCUCCCAAAAAUCCUUAUCACAUCAUCUGACAUAGAGCUGAUUACCCAAAAUAUGCCAGAAAAAUAUGGAAUGUGCCUGAUGUGUAGUUCCUGCCGAGAUAAUAUCGUACACGAAUGGCCCCGGAUGCAGAUCUGCUGGUGCAGGAAUGUCGAUCAUAUCGAUGUGAAUAUCUGCAAGAAUAAGUACAAUAAUGCAAAAUUUGUCAUUCCUUAUAAUCAUAAACUGAAUCAUCAAAUACAAAAUAUUGAAAGAUUCAACUAAUAUAUAAGACUGUAUACUAUAAUGCCUAGAAUAGGAGUUUGAGAACCCAUACUAACUCGACACUUUAAGAAAUACGACCCCUUCAAAAUAAAAAUAUAUAUAUUAUUUUCAUAAUUUAUCAAUAAAUUGUACAUAGCAAAAUAUACUUAUUUCAUAAUGCCUUCUAAUAGGAUUACAUGGGUUCCUAUCUCUAAAUUAUUUCAUUCAAGGUCUAUAAUUCGAGCAAUUUCUUCUAUUGUGACCUAACUGAUGAUAAUUUGUACAUUUUCUUGGUUCCUCUGGAUCUCUCUCAUCCAUCUCAUUCCGAAUUCUUCUUACUCGUACCCUUCCUGCCCGACAUGCAAUAUAUUUACUUUGAUCUAUAUGUAGCUCCCAAUCAGGUUGGAGCCAAGUAUCUGGAUGCGGUAAAGGGUUAAACCUUCCUGAAUACUGCACCGGCCACCACCUUUUUGUAAAUUAAGGAUCCACAAGCAGUCCCAAAUUGUCUCCUCGAUGCCUGCACAUUGUCAUCAUCACGUGUGAACAAGGAAGCCUAUACUACUGCCAUUUGGCACAAGAACAAAUUUUAUCAAAAAUUUGACCGUUUGUGUAUUAUCCCCUUUGCCAUCCAUAUGUCGGUCUGUCACAACUUUGUACAUUCUUGUUGAGACAUCGAACUCCACAAUCCUGUGUAGUCCGGCUUUCUGAUCAGAAUUUUUAAACCGCCGCCAUAUCUUUGGAGGAAAAGGGUUACAGUAAUGUCUGGCAUUCUCACUUCUCGUUUUAAACGACUCAACUGUCCGAUAAAAUGUCAUAUUGAUACAAGCCCGAAUUGGCAAAUGAUGUGCCCCUUUAAGUACAUUAUUAUAGCUUUCGGAUAUGUUGAUUAUAAGAAUACCUCAACGAUGGCCACCGUCAUGUGUUAGACACCACUUUCGGGUCCAAUGUCAGACAAAUAAGUUCAUGCAUCAGAAACAUGUUUCUUAUUUCUCGUUGGAACCCUCGCCACUUGCGCAAUUGUCUAGUUUUUUCCAUUGCUCAACAUAACCUUUUAAGAUGCAAGCCUUUGAAGUGUGUCAUUAGUUUGCUCCUAACGUGUCGUAGGCAAAACCUAUGAAACGCCAAAGGUUCUUUCCAAUAAUCAAACUGUGUCAUGGCAUGGAUGAUACCAUUAUAACGAUCCAAAAUGACACAAAGAGGAUACCGGUCAUGAGCCACAUGGUAUCUAAAUUGUUCCAUAAACCAUGACCAACUAGAAAUAGUCUCUUCAUCACCAAUGGCAUACGCAAUUGGAAUUAUCUUGUUGUUGGCAUCUUGCGUAACUGCAACAAGUAGUUUGCCUUUAUAUUCACCAAGCAAAUGAGCGCCAUCGUCCAAAAGCCCAGAAUACAAACUUAAAUGUUUUUACUCGAUCUGUGCUUUUCGAAUGGUGCUACCACUUGACCAUAGUUCCCGGAUUUGACUGAACAAGUGCAUCAAUAUAUUUUGGUAGUUCAGCAAAAUUGGCAUCCCAAGAUCUAAAUACAAGUUCAAUAGCUUUGCGUCUGACAUACCAGGCCUUUUUGUAAGAAACAUCCACCUUCAUGCCUUCCUUAAUAUGACUCAUUAUAUUCUUAAUUUUAAAUCUAGGAUCAUCUUCAAUGCUACAAAGUAUGUGUCUAGCAAUAACUGAAGAUGUGAGACUUGUAUUGCUAUUACUCAUCAAAUCACUUAGACAAUUGUAGUUGUUGACCCAUUUGGUUAUUUGCCACAACCUAUGAGUCUUCUUUUUCACUGUUCUAACACACCAGUCGUAUGCCGGAUACGAUGGGACGACUGCAGUGCUAGUACUCCUAUCAAAUGCAGAUUUGCAUUUGGCAACCCACGUGUUACUCUUGCUCUCAACCACCCUGAACUCCCUGUUAUGAUUGAUAGACUACAUCCUAAUAGCUCUACUGAGCUGGUGUUUGCUCUCAAACCUUAUAUGUAGGCAUAUAUUAUUAUUCUUCUCACUGAAUGUAACAAUGUGCUCUAACUCACUUUUAUUAGUGUGUUGGUCAUCAUCAUCUAUGUUUCCAAGGUCAAAGAAAAAUCUAAGACCUCUUGGAACAUAUGAGAGGCCCAUAAUUGCAUUGUUUGACCUACUAUCUCCUCGCUCAGUAUUCGCAAUGCUCGUACCAUUAAUGAGCUGUUGGGUCUCGAGAUCCGGGUGAAAACCACAAGCUUCAUGUUCGUCAUCUGAGCUAUUGUCGGACGCAUCAAUCGACUCAGAUUCUUCUAUGUCUUCUGCGUCAUGUUCCGAAUCAUCAUCUCCUCUAAAGCAGGGAGCUUGUCAUGUCCACUGGCAUACACAUUAUCUUCAGUUGUUGUUGGAUGACUUAGACCAGGGGUGGAAUCUAAGCCAUAACAAGAUAAAUGAUACGGCGAUCCUGGAUAUCUACAACUUGGAAUCGAGUCAAGGUCGUGAACAUAUUCAACAUCACGCCUUAACCUUGAUGUGAUGCUUGACUCUGACGAGUCCCUAUCCCAAUCUCCAUGUGUAUAUUGAGAGGCCGAUGCAGCCUCUGAUACUACUGUACUAGAGUGGGACCGGAACCUUGUUGGAUCCAUGCAUGCAUGGACAAGCGACAUCAUCGGACCAACAUUGUUAGUUGAUGGAAUGAUUACGCUACUGACUGGAGGAUUUUGGGAAAUUUCCUCCCUCGAUAUAAAGCUCGGCUAUGCAUGGAACAAUUUCGUUCCAUAUAUCGUACAUUAUCUCCAGAGUUUCAUCAUCCACCACUGUGAAGACAUUAUAAGAGGUACGGCCACACGGUUGACGGAAAAAUAAAUUCAACUUGAAUGUCCCCUGAUCGACCCCCAUAUAUUAAUAAAUUAUGUCAACCAACUCCUUAUAUCCAAUUCUAUGCCGCAAUGUGAACGUAUGGUUGGAGGUACGAGGCAAGUAACAAAUUGACCCAUUCUUGUAAUGUAUUUUACCUCCCCAAUAAAGAGACACUCGCAGAAGUCUUUCUACAGACAUAUGUGCGAAAUGAAUCCCUAUUUUGGAGAAAAUAAAUUAGAAUUUGUAAUACAAGAGUAUGGAACAAAUGACUAUUGGAUUAGGACUCUCUUCAAAAUAAUUUUCGCAUCAUCUCUCCUAAAUAUUAGCUCAAACUUUUCAUUAACCAUUGACCAAUUUUUUUUAGCUAUCAAUGCACUGUAAAUAAUUACUAUUUCUUAACUAGCUAAAGAAAACACUAUAUUAAUUAUAUCAUGCAUAUAAUAGAAUAUGAAACUACAAUAAUUUGGAGGAGAAUUCAAUAUAUCAAUGUUAGAAGCAGCCUGCUUGUAAAAGUUAAUUUUUUAGUUAAUUUUUUAUAGAAUUUGAAAGCAUAUUUUAAGUUAAUAUUCCCUCUAACUCCCUUAUAAAUUGGCUAUAAAUUUCGAUAGAAUGUUAUUCAAGAAUUCUUAUUCUGCAAAAAAAAAAAAAGAAAGAUAAGUUGAUUAAGUUCAAUAGCUUUCCUUGUUUUAUUUCACAUUUCAAAACACCUCUUUUGAGUCACUAUUGUCACCACUCCUCAAAAAUACUUUUAAGUUAAUAACUAACCAAAAGAGCCCAAAAUUAUAUCUAAGCAUGUAAAUGUCAAACUUUUUGAACAACUUAGUAGAAUUUUUGAAAAAAUUUCGACAGAAUCUCCCCUAUAACUACGCUAAAACUCCUUGCCAACCAAUCCAAGCACGUAUCAAUUUUCAAAGCUAUUUUAUUUAAUCGCCUAAAAUAUUAUGAUGCAUUCGCCAAAUACAUCUACAUCCACCAAAUUCAUCAAAUUCGUCAUCUUUAUGGUUCAAAAGUAAAACUACAUAAAAGACCAUUCAAAUAAAAUAAUAAAGCCAAAACAAAAUGGUCAAUCAAAAUUUUCAAAUCCCCGGUAAUUUGGUCAAAAAAAGAUGUAUAUCUCAUUCUGUCAUGUUUGAGACAACCGGAGGGAUCAAAUAAAACCUACUUGUUCAAGUAAAAUGAACUUGUUCAUAUAGUUGGACAAAUAUCGUAAAUAUAAAGAGAGGCAACUUUGUUAAAGUUGUAAACUUAUAAAUUUACCUAAUAAUUAGUCUCAGAUUCCAGAGAUGCACUCCAACAGAGAUUUGAUCCUACUAUUAUCAACCAAAGCCUCUUCAACUGAUAAUGUGCUCGUGUCACCAACUUUGUGUGCAUCUGUAUGAACAUGAUGGAGUUAAUGACGAAACAAAAAAAAAUUUAAAAAUUAGUCGUAGCAUGUAUUUGUCAAAAAUUUUUAAACAACUUUGAUAGUUUUUAAAGAGAUUUUGACAGAAUCUCCCCUAUAAAUGGGUUAAAACUCCCUGCAGCUGAACAAAUCACAUCAAUUUAGAACACUGCAAACUGUGAUCUCCUAUUUUGCUGUAAGAGUUGAUUGCAAGGGUUAAAACUGAAAAUUCUGCUAAAAUGUCCAGGUUUAACAACAUUGCCCCCUCUAGCUUUUAAAUUGGACUUGAACUUUUUCAUUUGCAUAAAAAUGAAAUUUAUAAGUAAAAAUUCAACCUACUCGAAUGAAUGAAUUCGAUAAACACUCAUUCAGGUCCAAAAUCCAACUUAUUUGAAAAAUUAUAGCCUUUGGUCAUGUCUUUCAUAAUAUCUUCCAAUUUUCUAUUUUUAUUUGUACUUUGGUCCAAUAAAUCUGACCUUUUAUUAGGUCCAUUUUAGAGAUUUCUGAGUUAAAGUCUUCUUGUUCCUUUUUUUUGUUCCCCCUCGAGGAUGAUCCUUUGGUCAUUGUGACUAUCUUACGGCCCGUUCAAUUGGAUAACAUCCACAAACAAGAACUUGUACCAAGCAUUCAUUACCAGUUUGUAUUUGUUUAUCAUAAUAGAAAGUUGAAUGGACUCAUAAAUGGCCCAUAUUUUUGUCAAUUCACCAUUGUAUUGGCUACCUAAACGUCCUGCAUCUCCUCCCACAUCUUAUAGUAUUAGUUAAUUGAGUUAAUAAAAAAUUGGGCCCUGCUUUCUGUUGCCUAAUGCUGGAUUAGUGCAAACAACUUAAAAUCCAAAGAUGUCUGUAAUCUCUAUGAUGCACUGUAUUUACCUUCAAAUCCAAGUUCAUGUACAACUUACAAAUCUAUUAAAUUAGGAUUGAAUGUCCCAAACUCAGGAUUUAAUAGAAUUCCUAAUCCUCAACCCAUUUUCAUCUACUAAUACACUGGUAUCUCAAUUUGUCAUUAACCUAUUAUGUUUGUUCUCAAAAUCUCCUUCAUUAAUUGUCACUCCAGCUAACAUUUUCAUCAAAUAUAACCCAACUCAGCAGUCUUGACCCCUUAAACCACUUUCCAGGCUAGGAUAUACCGCCACAAUUAAUGAUACCAAAACAGAGGGAAUGUAUUAAAUGUCAAUGUUGCUUUGUCAAAUUUCCUCCACCAAGGCAAAUUAUGCAUCGGACAAUUAUCUUUUGAUGGGACCAAAUUUUUGUCAGCAAUUGAAAUUCUGAGCAGUCAAAUUAACUGCCGUGAUUCUUGAGAGAGCAGGCCAUUAAGGAUAGUGAUUAAGAACUAUAUGUUGAGCUUAGUCCCUAGCUUUUGAUGUUUACAAAACAAUGGAUGAUACUAAUAUCUUUUCAAGAAAUACUUUCAACUAUGAAACAAAUCUGAUUCAAAAAACAAGAGCAUUUGAAAGAGAUAAAAGAAGUUGAAAGCUGUCGGACGCUCGCGAAGACAACAUCGGACGUCCGAUAAACAAUGCAGCACUUCGAACACAUGAAGAACUCCAUCACCGGACGUCCGAAAGAAUUAACAUGAUUUCUCAAACUUACUAUUUAUAUAAAUAGCGCAUGGUCAGAAACUUCAAACAACUUUUGCACACUGAAGAUACAAAAGAUAUAGAGUAGUUUUAGUGAAAAAACACUCUCCAAGGAAGAUUUGUAAUCUUGGUGGUGUGAAAUUCAUUGUAAGCUUUUCAUUUAUAAGUGAAUACUUCAAUAGUGUAGCUCUGUGAGGGUUGUCCUGAAGGAUAGUAAAACUUCCUAACUUGACCGAGUAGAAUUUGGGACAAGGAGGAAGUGAGCCUUCCUUUGUACACAAGAUUGGUUAUAUUUCAUCAACUUGAAGAAGCUUGUUUGAAUUGAUCUACAAGCUCAAGAGGAGCUUGGUAGUCAAAUGGUUUGCAAUUCUUCAUUUCUUAUUUACUUAUUGUUAUCUUGUGAUCUUUAAAUUGCUUAUAUCUUCUACUUCUCUCAAGUAAUUUUGUUCAUUCAUUGAUUGAUUCAUUAUGUGAUCACUUAGAAAAGAGGGUAAAUUUUAUAUUGAGCAAAAAGUGCCCAUAAUCUGAUUAGUUUCUUAAUCAACCUAAUUCACCCCUCUCUUAGGUUGUCUUCGAUCCUUACACUAUAAAUAAGUGGGAUUUUGUAAUUUUAACUCCACAAUAAGAACAUUUGUAUUCUCUUCAUGUCCUUAAGAACAUCUGUACCAUUAAUGAACAUUGAUGUUUAACAAAAGAAAAAAAUAACGAUUAUUGGUAGCAUUCCUUUUUCACCAGAAAAAGAAACAAAAUCAAUAACUACGGGCAUUUCAGCAUCUUCUUCCGUCACUGGCCAUAGCAUCAGAAAGCUUACCUUGUUCACCGAAAGAUGGCUGUAGCUUCAACAUUUUCCGGUCUCCAUUUUGCAGCUUUUCAGCCCUUCAACUUUCCGGUCUCUGUUUUGCAGCUUUCUGGCGAGAGCUUCCGAGAUGACCAGAGUUGGACUCCUUCCCUCCAACGGCUGCAUUCUUGAUGAAUGCUGCUGCUUCCGAGGAUUUCAAUGGCGAAUUUGGGAUGCAAUUUCCCCUCAAUUUGUAUUUCCCAAUUUUGUUGUUUCUUAUGGUUUUCUGGUUAAAUGAGUCAAAGAGAGGACGGAGGUUGAAGGAGCUGGGUUUUCGUUUUUGAUCGACAGACAAAGGACCUCACAUUUCUCAAAUGCAAGGUCUAUUUAAAAAAAAAAAAUGCUACUUGGCUUUUUGUUAGCUCGCAUUUGCUGAAUGCGAACUAAGCUAGUUCGCAUUCAGAAAAUGCGAACCACCUAAUUUUAGAAAUUACCCCACAAAUACCAUCUCUUGUAGAAAAACUUUUUUUUCCAUAAUAAUUUAAGAAUUUACUCGGAUAGUUGAUUGGUAUUAUAAGAUAAAUCCAUGACGAAGUAAGGGAAGUGGAGGUCAUUCCAUGUCAUUAGUUAGGCAGCGUUGAAAGAUCCCCUAAUACUUCUUAUAUGACAAAGGAGAGUCACAAGGGAUAAAGGUGAUCAAUCAAAAUAGGAAGUUGACAUUGGACUACAACUACUUUUGUUCCAAUAAAUACAUAUUUUUAUUUUGCAUAUAUUUUUUAAACUAAACAUUAGUAGUUUGUCCAAAUUAUGUUUACAGCCGGAAUACAUACUUCGGCCCUGACCAUGGAGCGUGCAAUGUUCCUUCUGUUAAAUCAUCCUGAGGUAUUGCAGAAAGCAAAGAGUGAAAUCAACAACCAUGUUACUGAUUCAGGGCCUUUGUUGGAUGACCUUGAUCUCUCCAAAUUGCCAUAUUUAUGUUGCAUAAUAAAUGAAACACUAAGACUUUUACCUCCAGCGCCAAUUCUUGCACCUCAUUGUUCAUCUGAAGACUUGGGCCAUUCCCAGACCCCAACUUAUGGGAAGAGCCAAGCAAGUUCAAGCCAGAAAGGUUCGAGGGUUUGGAUGUAGGAUUUAAAUUUCUUCCAUUUGGUAAAGGGAGAAGGGCUUGUUCAGGAGCUGCUAUGGCUAUGAGAUUGGUUGGGUUGGUAGUGGGAAAUGUGAGAACCUUGGUUCAAUGCUUUGAGUGGGGGAGUGUAGGAUCUGAAACGGUAGGCUAUAAUGAAAAAUCUGGCCUCACUUUUGGUAAGACCAAGCCUUUGGAGGCAAUGUACAAGCCUUGCCCUCCCAUGAUCAAUAUAAUUUCCCAGCUUUGAGUUAGUGUUGCAACUUGUUUCUUGGUGUAUACCAAAAUCAAAUGAAAAUAGGCAACUUUUUCUAAGGUAUAUUUGAAUUUAGAUACAUGCACUUGCUAAGGAAAUAUGCAAGAGACUAUAAUAAUUGAAGAGUAAUGUCGUGGAAAGAAUUCUCAAACUAUGCAAUGAUGUAGGAUAAAACGAAAUAUUGGUAGUUGUUUAUACUUUUUUUUUAAUUUUGAGUUUCUCAUCAUACUACAAAAAUAAAAACCUAUUUUUAUUCUGACGUACCCAUAAAAUUCCUUAAGGCACAAGUUUGUUAGUAGAUGCUUCGGCUACUCAUAAAGAACCAAAAGUUUGGAAAGAACCAAACAUGUUUAAACAAGAAAGAUUUGAGGGAAUCAAUGAAGGGGAUGUGAUGAAGGGUUAGUUAUACUUUGAAUAUUUUUACAUUUUUAACAUUUUAUUGGCCCUGGUUAUCAUAUAAAUCCAGAAGAAUGGCAAGUCGUAAUUUAGGCUUUUACAGUGCAUUGAUGUAGCUGAUGGUUUGAACAUGUAGCUUUUGCAAGAUAUUGCUUUGUGGAGUAACUUUUACCUUUACUUGGAAGUUUUCCAUUUCUUUGAAAGCUAUAAAAAAAUUUGUGACAACACAAAUUUGUUCCAAACUUUUACCUAUAACAACUAACAAAUACAAAUUUGUUUCAAAUACAAAUUUUUUUUUAAAAAAAAUUAUCUAAGAUGUCAUACUCAAUAGGCACUUGCAAUGAGGUAAUGUAACGUAAAAUCAAAGAGCAAUUUUAAGUGGAUGUGACGAGGCCUAGACGACAUUUUUACUCAAUUCCUAGGCUGCAGUAAGCAGAUCUAAAGGACCGUUCCAAAUCCCCUAAUUUGGCCUGGAAAUAUAGCAAUCUUGACAAUUUUCUCAAAAAAUCUGGCAAAUUUCACUCAUCAGCUAGCAACUCCCAUAAUAUAGCAACCUUGAUGAUUCUUAUCCAAAAAUUUACUAGCAAUUUUUACUCAUCAGCUUGCAACUGUUCCCCAAUUCUUGACAUAGCUUAUACGACAUGAUGCUGCUUAACCAAAACUGAAUGAAGCUGUCAGCAUUUACAAGGAACUUGGGUCAGACUUCGACCAAGAUCAAGUAAACUACGAUCUCGGUUCUAUUGUGUCAACAACAAAUUGGAACCUAAGCACUUGAACAAAUAUUGAACAUCCCAAUAUGCUCUGUCAAAGGGAUUACUGACCGCAUCAAUGUGUACGGACCUGGAAUGCUGGGAUCCCAACCUUCACCACUUUUACUGAAACCUCUAUAGUACAUGAUAACACCAUUACAGUAAAAUAUUUGUGCUCAAUACAGCUAGUCAAGUUGUUUCGUCCAGUCAAAUGGAUCCCAAUCUUGGGCAAAAACAGCAACAGCUUGUUUCUGCAUCUCCAACGAUAUAUGCUUCUGUCGACAGUGCAUGUCUCCAGCAGGCAAGCGUAGCAUACCUCUUAUCACAUUUAGGCCAAAGUUGCUCUUAAAUUGCUUUUCAUCAUCAAUCACGUGAACGAAUCCCUUGUCUAGGCCAAAUUCGACAUGAAAGUAAGGGAAGUUCUUUGGAACUGAAGCACGGAGGCCCUUCUGACUGGUAUCAAUCAGCUUCUUGGCAUUAUGUUGACUCCACUCCUCCUCUGCCUCAUCAAUUGCCUGUGACAUAUCAAAAAGUAGCCAAAUGUUAACUAUCCAAGCAUGAAACUCGAGCAGUUUUUUACUUUAAAGACAUCAACAUGUUAAACCAAAAUAAUCAAUCAAAAAGAUCCGAUUCAUCAAUGACUAACUAAUCUAUAAACAACAAACAACAGGAGUAAGUACGAUUGGUUUAGUAAGGAAAUUCUUGCUCUAAAAGGACACAAAAGAGAAUUUACUCUCUUCAGUUUUCAAGUACAAUCAUAAGAAUAUAGAUUUACUUCCAACAUGUAACAAACAUCUCAUAUGUCUCCUUCUAGCUGAAUCACAACUAUCAGAGUUGGAUAGAACACCUACACCAGAUCAUGACAAAUUAUUUUUAAGGUUUUCUGAUGCACAAACUGAGUUAUUCAUAAUCAUCAUUGCUCUCCAUACAAAUCAAUCAAUUUCUGCUUUUUCUUUGCAUGCCUUGAUCAAUCAACAAUUUCGUCAAGAACUCAAAGGACUACUUUCACACUUGAUUCAGGUAACACCUAGAAAAGCUAUUGCAAGACUUCUUAAACAGUUAACACUGUCAAUAAUAAAAAUGAAAAGUGGACACCACCCUCCAUGCCCUUAUCUACGCAGCAAACUCCAUAUCGUUAAACACUUUAUCAUACCAAACUAAACACCACAAAAUUUUGGUCUAGAAGGAACCCCAUGAGCUCCAAUUUAUAUUUUUCUCCAAUCUUCAGCAAGUACUGAUUGGUCAAAAUUGAAAAAGAAUUAAAAAAAAAAACACAUUCACACACACGGAUAGCCUCCAGAGUCAGGAUCACCUUUAAGAUUAACCAUCAGAAUGAUGCAAAAAAAAAGAAGAAAAUGAAGAAAACUAACCUUCUUGAAAUACAAAGGUGCCUGUUUUGCAUCUUCAUGGGGCAGCGGAAUGCAAUCCAGCAAACAAUGGCGGCGUUGCUGUGCCAAGCCCAUCACUGUUUCAAGAAACACAACAUCCUUAUCCUGCUUAGCAAACAUCAUUAUCAGGCACUUCUUGAAAUUCCGGAUUUCGUCCCAUAUAUUGUUGUCUACAGUUCUUGUCCGAGACUCAUGCUGCACAUGUCAAAAACCAUUGUUAGUGCUGUGGGAUGAUGACAAUAAUUACAAGAUCAACUCAGCAGCAAAGUCAACUUUCUUUCGUUUCCUUUUCAACAUUAUUAGUGCGUAAAAACUUAAAUGUCCAUCACAAAGUUCUACAUGGCAAGCAGAACGAUAAUCUGGGUUACCAAGGUUUCACAUUUUUCAGCAACUAAUGAACUGUUAAUUUGGAGUAUAUUACCUUUUGCUGCCCUAUGGAUUAAGCACAAACACUUGUAAGAAUAUAGCCUGAACCCCAAUUUGGUUUUAAAGAUGCAAAUGCACAACCUUCACUAGGGCAUACAAGUAGCUAUAACAUAUCAUGAAACAUCUGUAAUGCAUAUCCAUUCUGGUUCUCUUAAUUGGUUGUUUAACUGAAAAAUGCAGACCUAACCACUUUGUUGUAUACAGGGUAUCUCUAAAAGAAAGGAGAAAGCAAUUCCUAUGAGUCUAAGUUUGUGAAGCAGAGUGCUGAGAUAUCUCUAAAGGAUUAGGGACAUGCAUCUUUAACAUAUAACAGACUAGAAAAGAGGCAUUCUUCGUACACGCUCAAACUCCAGAAUUACAGUGGAGCAAUCCUGCUCUGGUCUAGAUAUAAACUGUAAAUAUGGGGAGAGAGAGAGAGAGAGACAGUUCACCUGCAUAGUUAAAAUGCAGCAAUGACCAGGGACAACAGGCUGCCAAUGAGGUAAUGAUAAGUAGGUGAAAUUUGCAAUGGCAACAACAAGAUGCUUUGGUCUCACUGGAUUCUCAAAACAAAAUUGACACCUCUCUUUCUGUGUCAAGAGGCGAUUUGCAAUCCUAGUUGCCUGACUUAUCUCAUUUGGUUUUUGGUCUGUACCCAUUCCUUUGUGCCGAGUCUUUUUCCUUGGACCAUCAUCAUAAUCAUACUCAUCAUCUGCCUGACCAGAGAUGUUAUACUGCUGGUUCCACAUUAUCUUUUGAGCCAGAUACAAGUCAGCGUCCUCCUCCUUCAUCUUUUGUCGAGCAGAUACACCAUGCAUGAUAUAUCUGCUUGUGCUCCCAUCAAUCCGUGGUCUGUGAGACUCAUCCUCAGCAUCUGACUUUGCCUUUGUGUUUUCAGCCUCCACAAGUUUUUCAGCCUCUUCAUGCUUCCCUUUCAUGUGAAGCUGCAUGACUUUGGCAGCCAACUGGUUUGCCGUCAAUGCUGGCUUCACAGUUGGACCAUCUUCACCAUGUCUUUCAACCAAAUUUGAUUCCACUAGUCUGUCAUUUUUUGCAUUUGAAGAAUUGACAGGAUCAUUUGAACUAUCAUUUUUCUUUUGCAUAAAGUCACGCAUAAAGCUUCCAUCAUUGGAAAACUUAUUUAAGCUAGACACUGCAGCAGAGAGGUUGAUAUCCUGAGCAGGCAUCUUACGCUUUCCCCAGGAUAAAGAAUCCUGAACUUUUGGUAUUCUCAUAUUAGCAUGGCACGAAGACCCAUCCUGCAAAAAGUUACUGUUAGGAUUCUAAAACUUAUCAAGAAAGGGAAGAAAACCAUCCAUAAAGAAAUAUGACUGGGAAAAUCUGGGAAGUUUUUGAAAAAUUACCAAAAACUAAUCACAUACUUCUUUUGAAAUUGGAAAAUUUUGUAUCAUUAAGCCAACGUCUUUCAGAAACAAUACAGUCUGGAGAAACCAUACCUUCUCAAUAAAUAUUCCCUUGUCUCUAUCUGCAUCUGUUUGUUCUCCGUCCUUCAGCCCUCUCCUCCGACUUUUUAUCGCAUGAAGAUGAGCAUGAUUUGGUGCCACUCUAUGGGAUGCCACAGAAACUGCCAGCUCUCCAAGAGAGCCCCACCGAUCUUCAACCACCUGUACAAAGUUAGUUCAUUACACAAUACUAGCUUGAAUGAAGAAUCUUCAAAUAAGAAACCUAAGACAAUCCCACAUACCUCCUCAAGCUUCCGUCCUUCACAGGCUGCUUGCUCCUGAGCUCGUUUCAAUGCUUUCAACCUCCAGCUUGCACCUCCAUCACCCACAAGUGAAGAAAAAAGAACUUGGUUCUGACAAGCAUUAACAUCUGAAUCUUCUGGAUACCCACUACCAUUAUUCUUCAAAUAUGGAUUCAAGUCCCUGGGAUUCAUCUUCUUAGUCUGAACCAAAAAAUAUACCAGGAAAUAGAAUAACCAAACUGUAUUUGAAAAUGCAUGAUAACAGCAAUUUGGCAUCUACAGAUAAAAUCAGCCCAGAGAACAAUCCACAACAGGCAAGAUAAACACUCUCAACGUUGACAAGAAAACACAAGUAUUGGCAGAUCGGUCAAACCAAUCAUAUAAAAAAUUACAUGAAGGCACAACUCAACUGAACAAAAGCCACAGGGCAAUGCUUCCUGCAAGAACAUGUAGUUUUGUGCAUAGACGAGUUGAUUUCAGACCCAAAAAUAAAUAAAUAAAUCAAUAAAGCACACACACACACAAGUUUGGAGAAAAGAACUAAAUAAAAAUGGAAAAAAUCCAGAAGGGAAUUUAGAUUAUCACUUUGAAUUGAGAUUGACUCAUUCAAGGUCAUCCAGGAUUGAAAUGUUACCAUUGCUACUAAGCUAAUAGCACGUGAGAAUAUACUACAAAAGAACCAAGUCCUUAAUCCAAUUACUCCAAGAGAGCCGUUAAAGCCUCUCCAAGUGUCUCUAGUCUCCCCUGUCUCAUUUUUAUUGAUCCUAAAUGCUUGUUCUGUCUAUUAUCCAUUAACACCAAAGUUCCUCAAACUCCAAUUACCAACAGGCAGCCCCUAUCCAUUUCUCGUCUACAAAAAAGAAGAAAGCGGGGCAAACGAUUGAACCAAAAAUGUCAAUUUUUUUUUUUUUUUUUUUUGGGCGAACCAAAGCACAUAAAAGUUCCUUUACCAACUGUUGUUCCCAAGGUUUCUCCAUCAACAAAAUUCUGGCCUUUUUAAACUAAAACGUUGCCGCUACAGUAUGUUCAAUGGUAGAGAACAAACAUCAGAUUUACGCGUUUGCAGAUUUUACAUUAAAAAAAAAAGUCUAAAUAAUUUGAAAGCUAACCUCUUCAGGUUCAACCUGAACCUCCUGUUGCUUGUCCGAAACCGUUGCCGGAGUCUUUUCCAUGGUAUCCUUCGGUCGCAGCAUCCAGUCCAAACCCAUCUCUUUCCUUGAAAUAUCUCUCAAGUUCUGGGAUUCAGAACCUCCACCAUUAUCUGACCAAUUUAGCAAAAGAAUAGACAGAUUAGUGGAGUCAAAUAAUUUCAUCAAUGAAUGGAGACUUUCACCAUGAUUUUCAGAUACUUUCAGGGUAUAAACAAAUUUUUUUUUAAAAAAGGGGGAAAAAAAAAACCUUACCCGUAUCCCAUUUACACGAGAAAUUGCACAGAAAGGCAGCCAUAACAAAUCAAUCUUUAACCCAAAUUUAAUUCUCUGUUUGAAGACUCUUCACUAAACAGCAAGUCGGUAGCAGAAAUUCAAGAGAAGGAGAAGGAAAAAUAAAAGGGCGAAGAAAACGAGGAGGCUUUCAUAUCAUAUGCGCGGUGGGUGGUGGUGAAAUUCGAAGCAGCGAGGGAGAAUAGAAUAACAGACUCGAGUUGGAAACCUCCCUCGAAGAGGUUUUUGGCGGUGCUUCACAAACCUCCCUUGAAAAAGUUUCCAACGGUAUCUUGAAAAAGUUACCAACGGUAUUAGUACUUUUUUUUUUGUCAGAUUAGACAUAGCCUAUCUAUCCUAAACUACAGGAAAUGAGAGCCUAAAAAGGCUUUGUAUUAGGAACUAAUAGGUACACAAAUUUUAUUAGAUCAAGGGAGUAUUUUAGUACAACUCUUCGAUUUUUGUGCCGCAUGUUAGAUUUAAACCCCUCACCUACAGCACAAGAAGGGAUUUAACACCUUGCGACUGAGCCAAGCACAGUAGUUUCUAAUGGUAUUAGUCAAUACCCUUAAUUUUGAAAAAUCUCACUUCUCUUAAUUAUUUUUGGAAAAAUAGUCAUUUUCGUCCCUAAACUUUUUUUGUCCGUCAAUUUAGUCCCUAACUUUUAUUUUUAGCCAAUUUAAUACAUGAAUUUAAUUUUCGGAUCUAAUUAAGUCCUUUUACGGCGGCGCCGCCACUUAAAAGUAAUUUAGCUCCUAAUUUAACAUUAAACAAGAGCAUUUUGAGAACUUUGAAUUAUCUCCUCUCCACUACCAGCCUCCGCCACCAACCACCCGCCUCCUCCUUCAUGAUCGGCGAUUUUGGAAUGCCAGCAACACCAGUAAUCCACACUUUGGCAAUUUGGCAACCCCGGCGAGGCCCCUGCAAUCUCAAGACCCCACCAACGAAGAUGAACCACCACCACCACUGCCACCCAGCAGCUGCCCCUCUCACCACUACCACAGCCACAACUACCCCAAGAAAACCAACCUUCUGUAAGGAUCGAAGACAACCAAUCGAAAAGUCAAUUGAUAAACAAUUAAAAGAUCACAAUAUAACAAUGAAUAAAUAAAAGGGAAAGAAUUUGCAAACCAAUUAACUACCCAACUCCUCUUGAGCUUGUAGAUUAAUUCAAAUAAGCUACUUCAAGUUGAUGAAUUACAAUCACUCUUGUGUACAAAGGAAGGUUCACCUCCUCCUUGCCCCGAACUCCACUCGGUCAAGUCAGGACGUUUUACUAUCCCUCAGGACAACCCUCACAGAGCUACACUCAUGAAAGAUUCACUCACAAAUGAAAAGCUUAAAAUGAAUCUCACACCACUAAGACUACAAAUCUUCGUUGAAGAGUAUUUUCUCACUAAAAUCACUCUAGAUCUUUUGUAUUUUCAGUGUGCAAAAGUUAUUUGAAAUAUCUGACCAACCACUAUUUAUAUAGGAUCAAGAAAGUGCCUCAUUAGUGCUUCCAACGGAUAGAAAGUAGCUGAAGAGUCAACUAGCCGUUGGAGUAUCGGACGUCCGAUGCUUGUGUCCGAUACUGUCGGACGUCCGAUUCUUGCGUCCGACAUCAGGCAGUGAGUUUGAAAAAUUUUCUUCAAUUCUAUCGGACGUCCGAUAGGCUGGUUUUCUGCGUCCGAAGGUAUGAUGUAAAACUGAGAAUUUUUCUUCAAUUCCUUAGAACAUCCGGUAGGCUGGUUUUCUGCGUUCGGACGUCCGAUUCAGUCUUUUUGAGCGUCUGACAACUUUCAGCAACCUUUGUUUUCUUUCAAUUGCACUUGUUUAUGGAAUCAAAUAACUUCAUAACUAAAAGUAUAUCUUGAAGAGAUAUUAGUAUCAUCCAUUUGUUUUAUAAACAUCAAAAGAUAGGGAUCAAGAUCAACAUUCUCCCCCUUUUUGAUGAUGACAAAACAAUGGAUGGAAAGAAACAAAAAUAAGUAUAAGCUCCCCCUCAAUCAUUGCAUCCAAAACUUUCAAGAGUCAAACUCGUAAUCUCAGAAUAACUCCCCCUUACUCAUUACAUCUAUUUCUCCCCCUUUUUGUCAUCAUAAGAUGAGAGUAAAAAUCAGCUACCAUAAUUCAACAACAAUAACAAAGAAUCCAAUAUUUCAAGUAAAAACAGAGAAAUGACAGCAAUAACUAUUAUAUCACAGAGAAUUGAUAUCAAAAGGAGUAUCAAAAAGAGAAAUAACAAUCAAAAUAAUUAUCAGACCAAAUCAUCAUUAGAUCAGAAUUGUUCUUUACUCUCUUUUUAACAUCAUACAGAUCCAGUAAUAUUCAAAAAAUAUCAGCGAAAACUCAGAUCAAAGUAUCAGAAAUAUCAAAAGAAAAAAAACAUAAUGAACAAGAAUUACUGCAAUGAUUAAUAAUAUCUCCUACUUGUUAAAGUUAACAUCAUGUCUAACUAUCCACAUGCAUUUCAUGCCUUUUUUUAUAUUCUUUCUCACAUAGCAAUCACUUUUCAUGUGACCUUUUUAACAACAGAAAUUACACAUAGUUAUUGGAUCAAUCAAAUGAACAGGUUUAAUAAAUCUGACUUGCCUUCUCCUGUAGAUAUUAAACUCAUUUUUGCUAUAAUUCAAUCUUGUCUGAUGAGUAUUAAGAUGAGGUUCAGUGUCAUUCUUUUGAAGGCGGUUCUGUUUUAUAUAUUGCAACAAUUGACAUAAAUCAUCCAUCCUCCUUUUUAGACUGCAUUGUUCACUUCUGAGUAUGUUACAGAGUUUUGUCCUUUUGUUAAGUUCAGCAAGCACAUCAGUUUCAAUCCUCUUCAGGUUUUCAUUUUCAUGCUUAAGACCCUUGUUUUGUCGAAAAAGAUUUGCAUUAUCUUGUAAUAGAAAGCUAACUUUCUGUUUUAGUUCCUUGUUUUUAACAUAGGAUUCUUUCAAGCUGUUAUGCAUUUUUUCUAGAAAAGAAUUAACAUCUUCAUCGGAUUCACUAUCACUAUCAGUUUGAGAGUUGCAUUGAAUUACCUCUUCAUCUCCAGUGGUCAUGAAAGCCACUUGAGCAGAUUACUCUUCUUCCUCAACUUCACCUUCUGAGUUGCAAUCAUUCCAGGUGAUCUGGAAAUUGUUGAACUUUGGUUUUCGUUCAACCUUGUUCUCUUUCUUUUUCUUCAUUGGACACUCAUUUGCAUAAUGUCCUGGUUGGCCACAUUCAAAACACUUGUCAGUUUGCUUUUUGUUGAAUUCCAGCUUUCCUUUAUUUCUGAAAUUAUUGGACUGAUUUGGAAAGGAAUUGCUAUGUCCUCCUUUUCUGAAUCUCCUCUUGUUGAGUAUUCUUUUGAAGCCUCGUGUGAUGAGUGCAAUAUCACUAUCAUCACAUUCCAUGUCAUCUUCACUCACGGAGGCUGUAUCAUCUUCAUCUUGUGAAGCUUUUAAAGCAAUACUCUUUCUCACCUUUGUACCUUCUUCCUCCUGCACCUUGAACUUGAGUUUCAGCUCAUAAGAAAUUAGAGAGUUAAUAAGAGAUUCAAUGGGCAAGGUAUUUAGAUCUUUAGCUUCCUCAAUAGCAGUCGCUUUACUCUCCCAAUCCUUCGAUAAGGCAUUCAGAAUUUUUCUGUUUUUCUCACCUAGAGAGUAUUCUUUUUCCAGCACCUCCAAAUCCUUAAUGAGGUCAUUAAAUCUACAAUACAUCUCAUCAAUGUUUUCAUGAGAUUGCAUCUUGAAGGAUUCAUACUUUGUAACCAGAAUAGACUUCUUUUGUUCUCUAACAUUCUCACUACCUUCAUGAAAUUCUCUCAAUUUAUCCCAAAUUUCCUUGGCUGACUUGCAGCCUUUGACUCUAGCAGAUUCAUUUGAAUCUAAGGCACAAUAUAACACAUUCAUGGCUUUUGCAUUUAAGGUGAGAUGAGCUCUAUCCACAGCAGUCAGUUCACUUCUUAUUUUUGGUCUAGAUGUAUGAGUAUUUUCAUCUAUAAAAGAGGUAUCAUAUGGACCUUCACUAAUAAUAAGUCACAAUUCAAUAUCAAUUGAUUGCAAAAAGAUAAUCAUUCUUUCUUUCCAACUCACAUAAUUUAAACCAGUAAACAUGGGUGGUCUAAUCACAGAAUGUCCUUCAAAAAAUAUGACAUUGUUGGUUGUCAUUUUUACUCCCAAGCCGAUUGAUGUGAGAACCCGUUUUGCCCUAAUAUUUUCCUAGGGUUUAUUUUCCCCUUAAUUGCAUGUUUUCUGCAUUUUCUGGCUUAGAAAUAUUUUCUUAGUGGAUUUUAUGAGUAAUUAUAGUUUUUAGAUGAAUUUUCUAGUAUUGGAGAGUUUUUAGAAAAUUAAGAAUAUAUAUUGGACGUGGGACCCACUAGUGCGAAAGGUACGGGAAAAUUCGGCCAAUAAGGUUAAGUUUCGGAUACUGUUAGAAAUUUAUCGGGUGUUAAGUGAUAAGUAGAGUGUGUGAAGUGAUUGAUGUGAGAGAGAAAAGAAAGAUAAGAAUGCAUUGAUGAAAGUGCCACAUGUCAUCUUCUCAUUGGUUGUACCUUAAGAAUUACUAUUCACCUUUUGACAAUUUUUUUGACUUUUACCACUUGAGUUAAAUAUCUCAAAAAUUACAAAAAAACUCACUCUUCUCUCUUCCCUCUUGGCCGGCCAUCCCAAGCUCCACAAGGAAGAAAGCUCUUCAAAUUUUAAGCUUCCACUUGGUGCAAAUCAACCAAAACCAAUUGUUUCCAUCCAUUUCACUCCAUAGGAACUUUGCUUCUAGUGUUAAUAAGUGUACUAGUGAAGUUGUUUUGAAGCUCUAAGGUGGCCAACCUCUCUAUCUUUCUUGUUUCUUGGUAAGUGUUGCUUGAACACUCUACUACCUCUAAUAAUGGUUAUAUGAUGCUUAGAAGUGGCAUGAGUGUGAGAAAAUGUGAUUUGUUUCUUGAUUUGAAGAGUUUUGGUGAAGUUUUCAUUUUAUUGAGAAUUUUUCUGGUUUAAUAUGAAAUGAAGGUUGUGGCUUUGCAUGAUGAAUGGUAAUGGUUGAUGAUGACUCUAUGAGGUGUAUUGGAUAGGAAAAUGCAAUCAAUUUUGGAUUUGGUGUGAAAUUGAAAAGUUAGGGUUCUUAAUUCCCAAAUUCUGUCCGGUUUUUGAUCAUAGGGUUAGAGGCCGAAUUUGACUUUGCUUAAAACAUGAAAGUUGUAGGUAUUGAUGUGAUGGAGAUACCUGUAAAAUUUCAGAGCAUUUGGAUUAGUGUGGAGUGAGUUAUGACGAAAUUACUGUAGCUGUUCUGCUUUGGACAGAAUGCGAAAACUGCGAUAGUAAUUGGCUAUUUUGACUGGAAUUGGUUUGGAUUUUGGAGUUGGUGUCUUCUGAUGAAAUGUAGCUGGAUGACUUAGCUAACAUAUGCCUUUGGAAUUUCGGCAAUUGGACUUGUAUGGACUGAGAUAUACUGAUUACAGUUUUUGGUGAUUUGCAAACCUGUUUUGGUAAUUCUGGUUUAGUAUUUUGCACUUUUGACCUAGUUAAGCUAGGAACUGGAUUGAGUGCCCUUCUACAUUGUUGUAGCCCUGUUUCAUAGCUUCGAAAUGGUGGGUCUUACACCCCCAACCGAUAACCGUAGUGAAUUUGACGCCAUUACCGCAUUAUAAGAUCAAACACGGUUUUUCUAUCAAGGCUUAAGUUAAGGCCAUAUUUUAAUUUCUGGUUUGCUAUCAUGCCUACUUAUGCAUGUGAAACCCUAUUGGGGUUGUGUUUAGCAUUGUUUGGUGACUCGUUCUCGAGUCUCAUUGUAUGUGUUACAUGUUCUAGGGCUUGAAGGUAGUGCUCGACGGCUUGGUGAUCGUGGUACAUGAAAAACCACUUACUUGCGUGGUGAGUAUACUACUCACUUAAUUGUUACUAUGUGGCUUUGCUAAAUGUAUAUGUGAUGCCUUGAAGGCUUACUUGGAUAUUGGAAUUGAUUAAGGUGAGGGUGUACUUGACCGCCCUCACCCCUUUUGAUAGUAUCACUGAUUGGCUACCGUUUUACUGCAUUACUGAACUUGAUAUACUGGAUACUGAAUUCCAUUCUAGGAAACUGAUUUGGUGUCAUUUGGGCGAAUGUCCAAUGGCUUCACUGUAUUACUGAGCUCAACCCCGUUUGGUAGUCAAUUGGAUCGAGCCGGCGAGGGCUUGGUCGUGAAAAUUGUCAUGCCACGGGGACUGUACUGAGGAACCUUGUGGUAAUGAGACCUUUGGUUCCGGUAUACUCGAGUAUUACCAAAAUGACUGAAUGGAGUGCGGGCCCGGUUGGGGUAUGUUGGGUGGAAGGAAUGGAAGUGAAGUGAGGUCUACGGUUUGGUACUUUCAACAUUGACGGAGGGUCAAUGAGUGUGGAUCAAGAAUGUAAGCGUGGAAAUGGGCUCUUGAGAGUCGACCGUAUCCUUUCACUGAAUUGCUUACUUCGAAAUUGCAUACUUGAAUUGAAUGGUUAUGCUUAUGUGAUCUUAACUGCUAUUGUGAUAGUUGCUCACUGAGCUUUAGCUCACUCCGUUCCAUUUGUUUUCCUUACAGGAAAAUGAAUACUUUUGGAAAAGGUUGUAAUAGUUGAAUGACAAGUUGAGCUCAUGUACAUGUAUUUUGAAUAGCUCCUUGAGGGUGAAACCCUAUGUGUUUUGUUUCACCAAUAUUUGGUGUGUAAAUGGCUAUUGUAUGUGAAUGAACUAAAUGGAUCUCUUGGUAUGCCAAUUUGGCUUGACAAUGUUGGAUUUCCAUGUAUAUAUGUUAAGUUGAUGUUUGGAUGAACUUCUGAACGUUUCGGCUUUCAAACGGCAAAAGAAAAUUUUUGACGGAAAGGCACUGGACUGAAUCCGGCCAGGAAUCCGGCCAGAAACUGGCCGGAUUGUCGGCCGGAUUGCUUGGAAAAUUUUGAAUCCGUGAAGUUGCUCACUGGACAGUAUCCGGCCAAGAAUCCGGCCGCUAAUCCGGCCAGAUUCCGGCCGGAUUCUGCUGUCCAGGUUACUAUUCAGUUUUUCGUUUUUUUUAUUUUGUUAUUUUGAUACUUGUGACCUGUCUGAGCGCACUUUUGCAUUCCCGAAACGUAUUAGAACGCGUGUAACUGCUCCGUAGUCCUGGCGAGAGCUGGGCAGACAGUCCGCUAACCCCUUUGGUUCGCCUUAGGGGAAAGUGGGGCUGUUACAAUUGAGCUUAAUCUCUAGGAGACCAAACUCUGAUACCAAUUGUAAGGAUCGAAGACAAUCAAUCAAAAAGUCAAUCGAUAAACAAUUAAAAGAUCACAAUAUAACAAUAAAUAAAUAAAAGGGAAAGAAUUUGCAAAUCAAUUAACUACCCAACUCCUCUUGAGCUUGUAGAUUAAUUCAAAUAAGCUACUUCAAGUUGAUGAAUUAUAAUCACUCUUGUGUACAAAGGAAGGUUCACCUCCUCCUUGCCCCGAACUCCACUCGGUCAAGUCAGGACGUUUUACUAUCCCUCAAGACAACCCUCACAGAGCUACACUCAUGAAAGAUUCACUCACAAAUGAAAAGUUUACAAUGAAUCUCACACCAUUAAAACUACAAAUCUUCCUUGAAGAGUAUUUUCUCACUAAAAUCACUCUAGAUCUUUUGUAUCUUCAGUGUGCAAAAGUUAUUUGAAGUAUCUGACCAACCACUAUUUAUAUAGGAUCAAGAAAGUGCCUCAUUAGUGCUUCCAACGGAUAGAAAAUAGCUGAAGAGUCAACUAGCCGUUGGAGUAUCGGACGUCCGAUGCUUGUGUCCGAUACUGUCGGACGUCUGAUGCUUACGUCCGACAGCAGGCAGUGAGUUUGAAAAAUUUUCUUCAAUUCUAUCGGACGUCCGAUAGGCUGGUUUUCUGUGUCCGAAGGUAUGAUGUAAAACUGAGAAUUUUUCUUCAAUUCCUUAGGACGUCCGGUAGGCUGGUUUUCUGCGUCCAAAGAUACUCAAUGGUUGUCGGACGUCCAAUUCAGUCUUUUUGAGCGUCCGACAACUUUCAGCAACUUUUGUCUUCUUUCAAUUGCACUUGUUCAUGGAAUCAAAUAACUUCAUAACUGAAAGUAUAUCUUGAAGAGAUAUUAGUAUCAUCCAUUUGUUUUGUAAAUAUCAAAAGAUAAGGAUCAAGAUCAACACCUUCCACCUGCGAAAUUUGCAUCGAACCCAUAAUUUCACCAACCCAAUUAUUCAAAAGCCCAAACAAUGAAAAAUGCGGGCCCCACCCAUUCUGCAAAUUGUCAACCAUAACAACUAUACUACUUCCAUGGCGGUAAAAAUCACAAAACCUCAAGUCUCCAAGAGUGGAAUCCCAUGUUUGAAAGAGAAGCCUAGCCACCUUAGGCAUGCAUGUUUAGAGUAGAAAUAGGAAUUCCCUCUUCCAGACUCACUGACACAAUAAGACAAAAUCAAAGCAUCUCAAGGAAGGCUGAAGAGUUAACGAAGGCAGAGGCAGCAGCCAAGUUGAGGGAGCAAUGGUGACUAGAGGAGAAAGCUAAGGCUCUGGAGGCACUAGAGAGGAAAAAGAGGAUCGCAGAAAAAGCGCAAAUGAGGGCUGAAUUACGAGCACAGAAAGAAGCCAAGCUCAGAGACAAGGUAAGAAAUUUUGAAUUUCCAAUUCAUAUGCCUGAGUAAGUGUGCUUUUCUUCACUUGGCUUUCCAUCAAUGAUGUCCAUUUGAUUUGUCUAGGAAAGGGAGAAGAGGUUGAGGAAGAAGGCCGGUGGAGCAGAAGUUCCCGAUGGAAACGAUAUUGGGGAAUGCACUCCAAAAUCUGAAAUCGUACCUGGAACAAUAAAGGAAUCUGAGGUUAAGUACUGUUUUCCUACCGUUACCAAAAGAUCUCAAAAACUAUCAGUUGUGGUGAAGCAAAGCAAGACAAAAUCUAUCCCUCCGCCACUUAGGAACAGAGGUAAAAGAAAAAUGCAGCAGUGGAUGUGGAUAAUUUUGACAUGCGUGGUUGUUAUUGCUCUGUUCUUGCUGGGAAACAUUGGCUUCUUCUCCAAUCUUUCAAAUUUUAGGCCGCGGAGCCAUAGU